UAAAACUGUCAGCAGAGGAAAUGGCGGAACUUGAAUCUUUUGCUUCUGCGGGAGUCAAGGGUGAUAGGUAUGGGCCUGGCCUUGGUACUUGGCAAACUUCUGAAACUCCACCUUUGUCAACCUGGAAGAGAACAUGAAGACAUACUUUGUUAUUGCAAUAAUUCCUUCUAGCUAUGUGCCUGAUGGUGGAUUCCACUAUAUUAAGAGUUGAGUGAUAUGUAUUUGUUCCAAUAAAGUUUGACAUACUAUUGUCUCUAGGGUUAAGGCAAGUAAAGUUAUAAGAAGAAUGGAGUUUCUUCAGAGGUUGUAAUGAAUAAAUAUCUGGUCAUGUAAAAGCAGAAUAUAAUUUUCCUUGCAGUUGAAUGCAUUAAAGGUUAUAUAUUGUACUUUUGAAUGCUAUAGUGGUCCAUUUUUUAUGUGCUACUGCUACGAGAGUUAUAGAUUGUCGAACAGCAUUCAAUUCAGGACUUAUUAAACAUAAGCAUAUAAACAUUUUAUGCUCGGAAUAUUUACAUCAAAAGAAACUCCAAGGUCACAUCAUUGUAAAGUGUAAACUACAUCAUAUUAAUAAAAAGCAAAAAAAAAGGUCUAAAUGAGGAAAAAAAUGUACUAUAGAAGAAGUCAACAAUGUCAUGUAAUCAUUUUAUCCUAAAAUUGAGAUUCAAAUUUAGUUGAUUUGUAUUUUGAGUUUCCUCUUUGAUGGGAAAUGUAUCUCAGAACUUUAACUCCAACAGUUGAUGUUUCCUACUUGGAGUACUCAGUCCACCUUGAUGCAUUGAUCUUUCCCCUGAACUUGUGCCCGUCAAACAAUAUUUCUGAUCAUCUUGAAGUAAUUAGUACCAUCUGUUCAUUACUCCCUUUUGAUUUCUUGCAUUAUAGUUUCCUCUUUAAUGGGAAAUGUAUGUCAAGAUCUACCUUCUACAAUUGAGAUUUCUUAGAGUACUCAGUCCACCUUACUAGAUUGUUCUUUUCCGUGAACUUUGUUCACUUCAAACAUUACUAUGAUCAUCUUGAAGUUAUUCGUAUUGUUGUCUUUUGUAGACGACACAUGCUUUACUAAUUACUGCACUUUGAAUUUCUGCAUUGCAGUUGCUUAAAUUUUGAAAUUCAUACAAUUUAGAAUAUGCCAAGGUUUCAAGUAGAGAAUUUGGAGCACAACAAGAAGUUGUAUGAGCGGGGUCAAUGCCAUUGCUUCAAGGAAGAGUUGUACUCCAUCACAGCAAGCGUUGGCCUGGGUCCAUACCAAGGCAAUGAUGUUUGUCCCAUAACUAGCACUACCAAGAUUGGAAACCUCAAUCAGAAUAUAGGAGCUUUGUCUGUAAAACUGUCAGCAGAAGAUAUGGCUGAACUUGAAUCUAUUGCAUCAGCUAGAGUCAAGGGUGAUAGAUAUGAUCCUGGCCGUAUCAAGGGCAGAGGUUAUGGGAUCUGAUUAUGGGCAACUGAUUAUGGAAUCUAUUCUAUCAUAAUUGCAAAGAUUAUGACUGAAAUUAUGGGAUCUGCUCUAUCAUGUAUAUUAGCUGUAUAUUAGCAUAUGUGUCAUUAAUAUAUCAGAUAGGUAGAUAUAUUCUUACAUAGAAUAGAAUGUACAGAGUUUCUAUUUAAUGGAAAAGAUGCACAAAAGACAGCAUUCAGUCUUUGAUCUAGAAAAUUGUCAUGGUAUCAGAGCUGGUUAUUUGAAUUUCUGUGUCUUUCAAAAUUUGCUGAGUUGUUAUUCUUCUUGGGUUGAUUAUUUUGAUCAAUCAUUUGGUUUCAAGAUAUCAUUUUGGGUCAAUCAUAUUGUGGUUGGCAGCCUUUCUUGUAAUUCAGAUCUUUGUUUUUUUGAAAGUAUGUCUGUGGCAAACUCUUUGGGAAAAACACAUACGGAAUCUUUGUCUAUCAAGUUCAUUGGGAAAAAUUAUGCAGCAUGGGAUUUAGAAUGUUUCUAAAGGCAAAGAGCUUUGGAGUCAUAUUGAUGGGUCUUCUACAGAACCUAGAGAUGGAAAAGAAUUUAGUCAAUGGGAGGCAAAGGAUGCUAGAAUUAUUUCUUGGAUUCUAGCAUCUAUUGAAGCUCAUAUGGUGAAUAAUUUACACUCCUUUAAUACAGCAAAGGAGAUGUAGGAUCAUUUGAAGCGUGUAUAUCAUCAAGAUAAUACAGCAAGAAGAUUUCAACUUGAAUUGGAAAUUAGUAACUACGGCCAAGAUAACCUCUCUAUUAAGCAGUAUUAUUCUGGAUUUUUUAAUUUAUGGAGCGAAUACUCUGGUAUAAUCUAUUCUAAGGUACCAAGCGAAGCCUUAGCUGGUAUUCAAGCAGUUCAUGAAGUUAGUAAGCGUGACCAGUUUCUAAUGAAACUAAAGCUUGAAUUUGAAGCGGUCAGAGCUGGAUUGUUAAAUAGAAAUCCAAUUCCUUCUUUAGAUGUAUGUCUUGGUGACUUGUUGCAAGAAGAACUGAGAAUGGCUACACAAACUAUCAUAGGUGCAUCGAAGGAGAUAUCCGAAGUUGUCAAUAUUGCCUAUGCUGCUCAAGGGAGGAAUCGCGAAAAGGGACAAGUACAGUGCUUAAAAGCAGUCUGUUUGCCAGACACAUGGUGAGCCACAUUUAAAAAUUGGUUUCUAUCAUAAAGCCUAUCAUGUCCGGACAGAAGAUGGACUGUUUUUUAAAUUUUUUAUGAAAGCAAGUGAAAAGUGUUGCAACUCAGGACUUGGAUGGUAAUUCUAAAAUUUAUUAGUGCACCUACCUUUUAACUUUUGGUGUGCUUUUAAGGUAUCAAAUGGGGGAAAAAAAACCAACACCAUAUAACUUCAAAUGCAAGAUGGUACGAAAUUUGUAUCCAUUGACAUGUAAAAAGUGCACCGUUCAUCACAAAGAUAUUUAUCCUAAUAUUAGAUUCAUUUUUUCAAAAAUUCAACUUUGCAUGCAAACAUGUAAUCAAUAUGCAUAAAUAGAUAGCAUUAGAUGAAUUUAAACAAGUAGCCUUCAAAUUUAAAAAUAUUUGAUUUCAUAAAGGUGCAUUCGCAAUUUAGAAAAAGGACUUUUCAAAUGGCAAAUCUAGAGAGCAAUAAAUACUCCUACUUUAUUUUGAUUUCAAAUCUUAUUUUGACUUGUCAAAAAAGUGAAACACGAAACCAAUAAUGGGUCAGAUACAAGGCUAAUUACUCAGAAUAUCGAUGUAAAAAAUAUUGGACAUAUAUGAUUUUGACAAUGGGCAUGUAUAAAACUAUUGCUGUAAGGUUGUGUCAGCCCGGCAGCAAAAGAGGGUUUUUUUUUAAAGCCUGCCAUUGCCACCGAGCUGACACGGCUCGGCAGCAAUAGUUUAAUUUUUUUUAAACGCUGCCGGGCCUUGUCAGCCAGAUAGAACAAAAAAAAAAAAUUUUUUUUUAAACACAGCCCGGCAGCGGGCAACAUUUGCAAAAAACUUUAAAAAGCUGGCUGCCGGGCUACGACAGUUCAAAAGAUUUUGCUAUCCGCCUACAACACCAGGUGAUAAAGAUAAGGGCAAAGGCGUACCGGGCAUUGAUAUGAUCAUUUCCGGUGCAUGUUUUAAAAUUUCAAAUAUUUGAAUAUGGGGAUUUAGCGUUAUUUUAAUCUUUUAUUAUUAUAAUGCUUGUCGUUAUUUUUAAAUUUCACAAUUUCAGCAUGUCAUGUUGUGCAUUUUUCCUUCUUUUUUUUUUUGCCUAUUUUGUUUUUAUAUUGCACAAUAACUUUAUAUUUAUAAAAUUAUAUUGUACAUUAAAAAUUACAUAAUAAUUUUAACAAACAAUUUUCCGGUACAAUUUGAAAACUGCAUCUUAUUGUAAAAUGAAAGAGAUUUUUUGUUUAAAAAACCUUUUUUUAGUUUUUUUACCUAUCGGAGUAAUUAUUAAUUUUACAAAUCUGUUUUCAUCUUUUUCUUACGUUCCAACUUUGAAACGUAAUUUAAUUAACUUAAAAGACUGUCGGGUUUAGUAUGUCAGGUAUCACACUUGUUGUAAUUAAAAAAAAAUUUUCUUCUUAUUUUUCAUUUUUUGUUUUUAUAUUGCAAAAUAAAUUUAUACAUUUUUUCGAUUUUUCUAUACAAUUUAUAACAAAAAAAAUAAUAUCAAAUAUUAUACAUUGUAAUUUUAACAAUUAUUUUGCAACGGUUUAAAAAACCUUUUUUUAGUUUAACAUCCUAUAUAUUUUACGAAAAUGAUUUGAAUAUUUUUUAAUCAUUUAAAGAAAAGAUAGAUUUCUACAAUUACUAUUUUUUAAAUUUUAAUCCUUAAGAUAAAGAUUUUUGCGGGAAAGAUGAAGAUUUAAAGAAACAAUAAAGAGGCAAAGAAAAUAAAAGAGAAAAAUAGGAGAGGUAAUUUUGUCCAAUGGAGGAUAUAAUGAGACAGAAAAAUUCCGAUGAGGGAUAAAGUAAAAAAAGAGAUAUAUUUUAAGGACAUUAAUUGUGAUUAACCCUAUUUCUUAUGCUCAAUUUGUAACUGGUCCAAAGCAUCAAAAGUAGCGUCCGCCUCCCAGGUGAUGAAUUCAUGGUCUUGAAUGUCCAAUAACCUAAGAAGAGUAAAAAGAUCACUUUAAAGUUGCUCCACACCCUACAAAUGCUUCUGAUACUAACUUUCUCGUCAUAUUAACAAAUGCUCCGCACCUUAAUGCUUCAGCACCCGUAAAAAACGUGUUUUUGCAACUGGUCCAAGAGUUGAACCCUUCGCUCAGAGUUACUUCUGGAUGUUGAAAAAAACAUUUCGAUCACUUGAAUCUAACCUCCCGCGUCUAAUCAAGCCAGAAGGCCAGCUUUUUUUUCACUGACCCUUCAACGUGAACCUUCUGAGAACUUAUCUCAAGGGAAACUUUUAGUGGUUCAGUAGAAUUUUUUUUAAUCCUCUUACAUGUUUCAUUCGUAUCUCCUACUUCAUGUCCGUGCAUUGUUGAAUUCUGAAGUGCAGGUCUUCUUUCGCCCGUAUUGUUAACCUUCUUUUUCAUGUUCAUUGAAGCACAGCAUUCUUUUUUCAGGUUUGAAAUUUUUUUUUUAAAUUGGACUAGCUGCUGGACUGAGCUUUUUAAAGUUUUUUGCAGAUGUGCGUCAGCCCGGCAGCCAGCGAAUUAAGAAAAAAAAAAAUUUUUUUGAGGCCCGGCAGCGUUUAAAAAAAAAAAACUAUUGCUACCGGGCAAGCUUUAAAAAAAAAAAAAAAAAAACCCUAACAGCAAUAUUUUUAUACAUGCCCAUUGUCAGAACCAUAUAUGUCCAAUUUUUUUUUCAUCGAUAUUCUGAGUAAUUAGCUGAGAUAGAGAGGAGUAUUAGAAAUUUGUUUUCUAGAUUCUUUGGUCUCCCAAUUUUUUCAACGGGUCAACUCCGAUCAUUAUUAUCACAGUCAUGUGAUUGUAGGUCUACCACGCUUCAUAGUCCACAACGUGGAUUGGCACCACAAAGGAUGGUUUCAAAACACCAUUUUAGUCUAGUAAGGAUUGUGUAUAUAACACAAGUCUUUUUAGGUUUUCCCUCCCCUGUAAUCUAAAAUAAAAUAAAAUAGGUUAUACAAUUGUUAUAGUCUUCAGAAAAAAAGGAUAGGUCCCACCCUAUUAUUAUUAUUUUUCUUUUAUAAAUCAACAACGCCUAUUCUACACCUAUUUCAACUUCUAUUCUAGGGGAACGGGAGGUUCAACUGAAAAAUUAAUGGUGAUUGAACCACGAACGGACCAAAAACUUUCAAGAUAAAAUUUGAUCUAAAAAAUAAAUAAUAAUAUAUUAACUUAUUAUUUAAUGCGAUACAUAUUCAAAUAUAUUAAAUUUAAUAAUUUAAUAAAUUUUAAAUUUUACAUUUUAAAUUUUAAUUUUCAACCUUCAAUGUUGCCGUACUUACAACAACAACUUCUAGAUGGUCAACACUUAGAGUCGUAGCCCUUGCUUUUGGCAUACCCUAGUCCCUAUUUCUGUUGUUAUCAAUGAGGAAGCAAAUGUCUGCUAUUAAUUACACGAGACAUCAGUAGGUUUGUUUGGAUUGGAGGUUAUUUGAAAUAUUUUUUUGAGAUAAUUAAUGUAGUACUUUUUGUGAUGUAAUGUAUAUAAGAUAAAAUUGUGAUUGGAAAUUGUGUGGAUGCAAAACAAAAUUUUGAAAUUUUUUUUUGAAAACCUUAAUAUUAUUGGCUGCACUACAAAUCAGUCAAAACUCAAGAGAUGAUAUUAAUUGAAACAAGUGGGCAAAUUGAACGAGGAUGCGUAAUUGACAUGGAAGUCUUGGUAGACUUGGAGGUAGGCUUGUCAACGGAUUGGGUCUGGGUCGGAAUUCAUUAUUCUGGACCCGGAUCCGACAUACUAUAUUGGACUCGGAUUCGACCCAUUUAUUCGACGGGCCUUCUACUCUAUAUUCUGAAUCCGGAUCCGACGGGUCUCGGAUUCGGGUCGAGUCUACCCGAAAAAAUCUAUCAAAACUUACAAAUUCUAAUAAAAAUGAGAAAAAAAUAUAUUUGUAAACCAAUUUUUAACUAAUAAAAAAAAUCAAAUAAGAAAAAAAAUCAAAUUGACUUUACUCAAAUACAUCACCCUAAUCAAAUUAUAUUGAUAAAUAUAUAUAUAUUUAAAUUGUUAAUCCAUUUAUAUCCGAAUCCGGGUCUAAUACGGGUCGAAAUAUUAUAUUCCGUAUUCGACCCGUUUUUUGUUUGAUAAAACGGAUCCGGAUCCGGGGUCCGAGUAAUGGAAUUAAAUCCCUACUCGUACCCACAAUAAUUUGACGGAUUCGAUCCGGAUCCGGAUCUAGACUCGAACUGUUGACAGGCCUACUUGGAGGGAUCAACAUUUGAAUCUGACUUGGAUGAGGUAAGCACAAAGGUAAGCAUUUUCCAUUUUUAUUUUGGUUUUCAUUUCUUGUAUACUUUAAAACGUUUUUCAUUCUACCUCACUCACAUAUAAUAUAUAAUGAAAUGUAAAUUUUUUAUGAAAACAUAUAAAAUAUAUAAAAUGAAAAAUAAAUUUUUUAUAAAAACAUAUGUUUAUAUUUUUCUUUGUAUAAUGAAAAUUUAUAAUUCAUUCUACCAAUAUAUACGCAUAUAUAUAUAUAUAUAUAUAUGUAUAAUGAAAAAUAAAUUUCUUCUUCAUCUUUAGGGCUGCACCUACAAACAACAAAACUCAGCUCCACUCAACUCUUUCCUUCAUGUUUUUUUAUAAAAAACAUAUAUAUAUAUAUAUAUAUAUAUAUAUAUAUAUAUAUAUAUAUUAAGUUACACUAAUUGUUUUAUCUCUUAAUAAUUUUUAUUUUUUUUACUAAUAUUACCUCAUGAGAGGCAAAAAGGGUAUAAAUGGAACAAAAUUAUUAUCUCAUUUUCCAAAAGAAUUUUUUAAUGGUACUUUUUCUAACAUGGGUUGAAGCUACUAUCAAAAUCUAGUUUAGGGAAAGUUAGUGCUAUUUUUUAAAUUUUAGGGUAGAUGAGUACAACUGUUAGAAACCUCAAAAAGGGAUGGUUUCUGCAAUUAUCCCUAAAAGCAUAGACCAAGACUACACUAAACACUAAAAAUUUGACACCUAUUUCUUAUAACUAUACUAGAUAAUCUCAUAAUUAUAUAGAAAAAUAAAUCAAAAUUCAUUACACAAAAGCAUUUUUGGAUAUUUAUUUAAGAAUUUGAUCAAAUUAAUAUUAUUUUAAAGUUUUAUUACAAAAACUAUCAAAUUAAAGGAGGUAGGGGUAAUGUUUCAAACCUCACAGUGAAAUUGUUAGAAACCUCAAAGAGGUUCUUGAUAUUAUCCCUAAUUUUUUUGGGUACAAAAACCUCCAAAAAAGUGGCAGUUCAAACGGGGCCAACAUUCUCCUAUCAUCACAAGUCCUCCCGCUGACCCACUAGCCGCCGGCGGCCCUGGGUCAUCUAUUAAAGGCUUAAAGCAUAGACCAAGACUGCAGUAAUCCCUCAUAUACACAUGUUAACUAGAGGGGUCAAUCACAACCCAAUUAUAUUGAUCUGUUCAAACCCGUUCACUAAUAAUCCUUUCAAAUUCGCCCAUUAAAAUUUAAAUGGGUCUAAGUGAGUACCUAAUUAAACCCAUUUAAUUGAUGGAUAGUUGAUUGAUUCAACUCACCCAUUUAUACCCAUUUAAAAAUAAAUAUAUGACAGGGUGUCGAGCCUGUGCAAUAAUAAUUAUCUACUCAAGAAAAACACAAAUUCUGUAUAUAGCAGUGAGUAGAGUCGAAUCCACACGGACUGUAGAUAAUUCGUUUCUUUUAGAGUCCAAAGUAUGGGGGGUUUUGGAGAAUAUAAAAUAACUAAUUAACUAACUAAUAAAACAACUAAUAGAAAUAAAUAGAAAUUAAUCAAUAACCAAUAUGACUCUAGCCAAAGGUGCAACUUUUCAGACACGGUCCAUUCAACUGAUCAUCGAUGCAAAGAUAAUUCAAUUACUCAUUACUAGAUUGGUUAUAAUUGUCAUACACGCGAUGAACAACCAGCCUUUUCUUAAUUUCUCGAUAGUUAAAGUACGACCGUUAACUAUUUCUCUAACCAAGUAAUAACCCUAGGUACGACCAUAGGAUUUAAUUACUCGAUUACAUUAAUAAUUAGAAAAACCCAACCCUAACCAACAAACACGCUACGAGGGUUUGUUUAAAUUAGAUCAUACGUUUCCCUAACAUGAAACCAAUCACGCUAGUCGCCACUGGUAUUAAUCAAUUGAACAAUUACGGAUUCAAUCAAUUAAUUUAGCAUUAGAUCAUUAAGUUAAUUUGAAUAUCGGGCCCUUGACAUUCAAAUAACAUAACAAACAUAAGCAAUUAAAUCAGGAAACGUAAAAAUACCAAUGAAUAAAAGAAAUAAAUAAAAUUAAUUCGAUCUCACAGAUAUUUGGAACCGCGCCUUCAAAUUGGCCUUCGACUAGAUGAAAGGUUUAGUUCAUCUACAUGGAGGAAACCCCAUGUGAAAUUGCAGAAGUAAUUAUUCUAAAACAAAGCUAUGUUUUCGUCCUCCAUUGAAGAAAACGGCAAAGCUAUAUAUAAAGUAAUGAAUACGAAGGAACUACCUAGAAGCAAAAACAAAACGAAGCUCUCCUAUUCUAAAACAAAAACUACUUGUCUAGUGGUCCCCGCCGAAUUUAGAUAAAAGGGUGCAAUCCGUCAGAUCAAGCUUUGCCGACUUUUUCUCCUCUUUGUUGCCUAUUGCUAGGCAAAGACUUCAGUGCCCAGACCAUUCCUAAUCAGUGAAAAGAAAAUGCACUCCCUCUGCCGCACUCUGUGGGCCAGGUUGUUGAAGCUCUUUGGAGUCUCCUAUGUGUGGAGCUGUUUUAUCCUUCAGAUGGUCUCGCUCUUUUUUUUCUUUUUAUUUUCUUUUGUGUACUUUUCUGCUCCAUUCCUGAAAUGAGAUCCAAAUACCAAAUAUAAAUAUAUAUUAACAAUUAAACAAUAUUUAGUAAGGACAGAGGGGAAAUUAAUAAUAAAAUAAUCAAUAAUUAACACCCUAUCAAUUCCCCCCACACCUAAAUCAUACUUGCCCUCAAGCAUGGGGACGACAAAUAACACCAAAAUUUGAAAAUGGGUAUUGCCCCAUCUACCCUAUUGUCAAGAUACCAAGGAAAACAUCUAUCAAGCAUCAGUGAUCAGGGUUCAAGAAACAUCACCCCAAUUAGCUUCUAAACCACAAACUCCUCCAAUUUAAGACAAACUAAUCUAAGAAAAAGGAAUGGUUGCUCACAUUUAUCAACAAAUGGUCCAACUAUUAACUAAAAUCUCGAUAUUAAGAUCACAAACCGGCAAGCUGACUUAUUCACAUACUAACACAAUCUUUACUUUACUUCUUUUUUUUUUUUUUUUGAAUAACAAAAGACUUAGUCUAUAGCCCUUAGAGCCUUUUGACGCGAACUCCAACAUUUGCCAGAUGGAGAAGCCCGGUUUCUCAGCUCCAAUCGCUACGGGACCACGCACUCAUAGUAACUACUACCUUUUGAGGCGAAAAUCGACACUUUAGGUCAAGAUCCCCGAUCACUCAGUAGUAACCACUAGCGGAGUACAGUCAACUCUUAUUUACAACCAUAUAGCACGAUAACUAAAAAUAACAGCAGGCAGCCUCAAAUUUCCAAACAUGGAGAACUAAAAUUAAUAACUGGACCAAUUCACAUGAAAAAUGCCAACAAUCAUUCCCUAUGCCUAGAAAAGUUAACCAAAAAUUAGAAAAGUCAAGCAAUUACUGAUAUUCACAUGAAAAGUCAAGCAGAAGUAAGCAAAAGAGCAACUGUACUUCCCUGAAAUCACGGGGGGCAUGGCGGGGCCACAGCAGUGGGUGAGGCCGGAAAUGGUUGAUUUGGGUUGGGGUAGGCUAAGGUCGAGAGGUUCCGGACCUAGAAGAGGACUUUGAUCUCACCAUCGUCGCUAACAGGUAACCCAAUCAACAGAAACAAAAUUGCCAACAGAUAGAGGAACAAGUAAAUCUAGAUCAAUAGAAAUCAAUAUCCUCAAGUGAAGUCAACAAUCAACCCAAUAAGCACAGGUAUCUUCCAAUUUAAAAGGGUAGUGCACAAUAAAUGGCCCACCAAAUUUGCAAUGUAAAGCCCUGAGCAAUUCAAUCAAUACCAGAAAAUCGCCCCAAACAAUGUAACAGUUAAACUCCAUGGGCCAUGGACGUCCAACCAAUUUCACUCGAACAAACUAUGAGCAGUGCGAGUGACGAAACAAAGCAACAAAUUUCAGCAAUUAGACACAAUUCCACUCAAAAUCUCAACAAAUAUCUCCAAUGGACAGUCUUACACAACUUAACCAACUGGAAUUAGCAAAUAUCCCCAAGAAACUGACAAAACAAGCAAUAGUAGUUCAAAAUUUGGACUACAACUAAAUCAAAAUGUUGUUUCAGUUUUCAAUCAGGUAGCCAACCAAGUAGAAUCAAUAAAUGUAGACAAAAUACCCCAACCAGUACCACUGGUGUAUUCCACAGAAAAGAAUUAAUUCAAAUGCCAAUCCAAACGACUGAGAAACCCUAACCAAGACCAAACCGUACCAGAAAUUAGAAGAAAUGAAAAUGGGAAUCAAUUGGCAAGCAACUCCCAAAUCAACCCCAAAGAACUCCCAAAUAAAUGAAUUAUCAGAGGUGCCUUCAAAAACCAAAUACCAAAAAUGCAUAAAAACUCCCAACCAAUUCAACGGGAAAAACAAAAUUAAGCAAAUCACCUCCUGUGUUUAUCCAUCAAGGAACCCAAAAGCACAAAUUCCAGUAACUGAGGAUUCAGGAAAAAUGCCAAAACAAGGGUAGAAAGUUAAUACCUCCACCUGUCAAUUUUGACAGGUAGUGAUGCGCGGCAAGGAGGUGGCGCACGAGGUGGUGGCCGCGAGCUUUGGAAGAUGAGUUGGCGAUAGAGGCUGUCAGCUACGCGUGCGACUGUGCGCACAAUGGGAGGAGAGAGGCGCGGCGAGCUGGUGGACAGCAGCAGCGGCACGGGCUGGUGGCAGUGGCUGUGGAGCGUGGGCAGGCGGCGGUGCGCAGCUGGUCAACGAAGGAGGAGAUGGGCGGCGCUCGGGCUAAGGAGAGAGUGAUUUGGGGGCUGUGGCGGCGUGGGGUGGAGUUGCGGCGGCGGUCAAAGGCACUGGUGAGUGGAGGUGGCGGGGAUGGAGCUUGGAACGGAGGAGCUCAGCGAGCUGUGGGUGGACGGCCGUGGGCAGGGGAGCAGCGGCGGCCUUUGGAGCUGCUGAAGGUGGUCCGUGAGGUGGAGCUUGGAGCUCGGAGGCGGCGGCGAUGGAAGCUAGUCAGCGGCGUGCGGCAAUGGAUGAGAAAGGGAGACUGGUGGCGUCGGGCUAAGGAGAGAGUAAGGGAGAUGAUGGCGGAUGAGCGAAAGAAAAGAAGGAAAGGGAUACAGGGCAGCGAGGAAGAAGAGGAAGAAAAGGGAAAGAAAGGAAAGAAAAAAGAGAAGAAAAAGGAAAAAGAAAAGAGAGAAAGAAAAAAAGAAAAUAAAAUGGUUUUGGGGUUUUUUUUUCAAUAUUUUUUUUUCAAUUUUUUCCCUAAUUUAAAUUUUCAAAAUUUGAAUUUUUGAAGAAAAAGAAAGAAAGAAAAAUGCUCUUUGAAUUUUUGAAUUUUCUCAAUGUGAAAUUUUAAAUUUUUUUUUGGUUUUGGAUCGUCAAACACCGCGUGAGCACGCCAAGAUUACACUUCCUGGUCACAGUAGAGGAAAAUAUUAAGACCGACUACCACCCAAAUGAGAAAUGACAAAAUGAAAGUAAUGAACAAUGAAAAACGAUAAAACUAAUAUUUGGGUUGCCUCCCAAAAAGCGCCUUUCUUUUAUGUCUUUGGCCAGACAUUGCCAUAUUUGUUUAGGGAGGAUAAAAUCUUGUACCUCGGUUUAAUGUUUCAUCCUCUAUAUAGUCCUGAUAACCCUCGUAAAUAGAGUAAUUCUUGAACACAUGAGCUACGGUCUUCCCUGGACUAGUAAAUGGUGCCAAACAAGUCAACAAUAAGUUGAAUUUUCCAUUCACUCCUCCAUCACUUGCAUUUAUUGGUUUAAGAUAUCUUGCCAUCGCCACUCUUAAUUUAUUUCUGUCAUGAAAUUCGAAAUUUUCUGAUAUAAUAAAAUCAAUUUCAUUAACAGGAAUUGAAGAAUAAGAGUUAGAAGAAUAUUGAUGAAGGAAUGGAUGCGAUGUCACCGCAUUUGAAGAUUGUUCACUGGUUUCAUUCACUUGAACGAGUUGAUACUGGGGCAUUAUUUCUUGCACUUCACCUUUUUUUUCAACUGCAUCUUUAGAUCCGUUUUCUUGAAACUCUUGCAGUUCCAUGUCAUUUGACGGGAUAACUGCACUCUCAUCCUCUUCAAGGUUGAUAUUGGUUUGUGAGGGCAAUUCUUCAAGGUGAGAAGCUAAUCGCUCUAUCCUGGAUGUCAAUUGAUUCAUUUGAUCCGCCGGAUCCCUAAUGCUCGCUUGUGUCUCCUGAUGAAAUCGAUAUGUAUUAGUAGCAAAUAAUUCAAUCAAUUCCUGAAGAGACAUACCUGACAUGGAUGAUGGCUGUUGAGAUUCUUGCUGUUGAAAAUCCAUUGGCCCGGUCGCAUAAUUAAAAUUGGAAUCAUCCCACCAUCCUUGAUCAUACCCGUUUGAAUAAGGAUCGUACCACGUUUGAAAUCGAGGUGAAAAAUCUCCAAAAGUAUCAAUUGGAGCACUUAGAUUAUCUUGAAAUGCGGGGCAUGUGUCGGUUGAGUAACCUGAGUCAAAAUAAGUUCCACAAUUUGCAACAGUCCAUUGACCAUUAGGAAAAACUCGAGUCUCAUAACCUCAUUCGGGAAUAAAGUCCAGUCUAUCAUCAAAAUAUGGAAUGUUAGCUACCAUAAACUAUAUAUAACAAAAAAGAGAAAAAAAAAAAACAAGAUGAACUAAAAAAAAACAAAUUAAUUAGGCACCAGUCCCCGGCAAUGGCGCCAAAAAUUGACAGGGUGUCGAGCCUGUGCAAUAAUAAUUACCUACUCAAGAAAAACAUAAAUUCUGUAUAUAGCGGUGAGCAGGGUCGAAUCCACAGGGAUUGGAGAUAAUUCGUUUCUUUUAGAGUCCAAAGUAUGGGGGGGGAGUUUUUUGGAGAAUAUAAAAUAACUAAUUAACUAACUAAUAAAACAACUAAUAGAAAUAAAUAGAAAUUAAUCAAUUACCAAUAUGACUCUAGUCAAAAGUGCAACUUUUCAGAUACGGUCCAUUCAACUGAUCAUCGAUGCAAAGAUAAUUCAAUUACUCAUUACUAGAUUGGUUAUAGUUGUCAUACACGUGAUGAACAACCAGCCUUUUCUUAAUUUCUCGAUAGUUAAGGUACGACCGUUAACUAUUUUUCUAACCAAGUAAUAACCCUAGGUACGACCAUAGGAUUUAAUUACUCGAUUGCGUUAAUAAUUAGAAAAGCCCAACUCUAACCAACAAACACGCUACGAGGGUUUGUUUAAGUUAGAUCAUACGUUUCCCUAACAUGAAACCAAUCACGCUAGUCGCCACUGGUAUUAAUCAAUUGAACAAUUACGGAUUCAAUCAAUUAAUUUAGAAUUAGAUCAUUAAGUUAAUUCGAAUAUCGGGCCCUUGACAUUCAAAUAACAUAACAAACAUAAGCAAUUAAAUCAGGAAACGUACAAAUACCAAUGAAUAAAAGAAAUAAAUAAAAUUAAUUCGAUCUCACAGAUAUUUGGAACCGCGUCUUCAAAUUGACUUUCGACUAGAUAAAAGGCUUAGUUCAUCUACAUGGAGGAAACUCCAUGCGAAAUUGUAUAAGUAAUUAUUCUAAACAAAGCUAUGUUUUCGUCCUCCAUAGAAGAAAACGGCAAAGCUAUAUAUAAAGUAAUGAAUACGAAGGAACUACCUAGAAGCAAAAACAAAACGAAGCUCUCCUAUUCUAAAACAAAAACUACUUGUCUAGUGGUCCCCGCCGAAUUUAGAUAAAAAGGUGCAAUCUGUCAGAUCAAGCUCUGCCGACUUUUUCUCCUCUUAGUUGCCUAUUGCUAGGCAAAGACUUCAGUGCCCAGACCAUUCCUAAUCAGUGGAAAGAAAAUGCACUCCCUCUGCUGCACUCUGUGGGCUAGGUUGUUGAAGCUCUUUGGAGUCUCCCAUGUGUGGAGCUGUUUUAUCCUUCAGAUGGUCUCCCUCUUUUUUUUCUUUUUAUUUUCUUUUGUAUACUUUUCUGCUCCAUUCCUGAAAUGAGAUUCAAAUACUAAAUAUAAAUAUAUAUUAACAAUUAAACAAUAUUUAGUAAGGAUAGAGAGAAAAUUAAUAAUAAAAUAAUCAAUAAUUAACACCCUAUCAAUAUACAUUUAAGCUCAAUUUUUACUAAGUGUUAAGAUGAUAAAUUUGAAUUUCCUAUGACUCUAAUAACAAUAAAAUAUCAUUUUUCUUGUCAAACAACAUGCAAAAAACAAAAAAAGGUAGAAUUUCAAAUUAAUCAUAAAUGGGUAAUUGAGUAUUCUCAUGUCUAUUUGUUAAAUUGAUAUAAAUGAAUUGAUUCAAUUAUAACUAUUACUCAACUAGAAUCCGCUCAAACCCGUUUAAGUUAAUCAUUUUGACACCCCUAAUGUUAAUAUAUAUUGACAAGUGAAAAGUGCAGCAUUUAUCACGAAGAUAUACUUAUUUAUUUUAAUAUUAAAGUCAUUUUUUCAUUACAAAAAUAUUGAUAAUUUCAUAAUUUCAUGGAAGUAUGUAACCAGUGACAUAACAUAGUCGCCAGUGGCGAAUCUUGUCACGAGCCUUCUUUUCAACGCUUUGAUUAUGGCAUACACCUUUAACAAUAUGCCCCCACGUUGUCUUUCGAUCACUUUUUUUUUUUUUUUUAACCUCACAUUCGUUCGUUAUGUAUGUAUAAUUUCUUUACAAAAAAGUGAAAAACUCCAAAAACGUGGCAGCUCAAACGGGGCCAACAAUCUACUAUGUUCGCCUGUUCUCCCGCCGGACCCACCAGCCGCCGGCGGCCAUGGGUCAUCUAUAAAAGCAUAGAUCAAGACUACACUAAUCCCUCAUCAGUCCAAUCCAUCCAUACUUCUUCUUCAGGCCUCAGCUACUAAACAAUAAACUCUGCUCCACUCAAUUCUUUCCUCUGUUUCUUGUGGUUUUUGUCUGAAAAUGGCGGCAUCAGAAGAAGUGAAAGUGCCAAGAAUCAAGCUGGGGUCGCAAGGUUUUGAAGUUUCAGCUCAAGGGCUGGGCUGCAUGGGCAUGUCAGCCUUCUACGGGCCGCCAAAGCCCGAGCCUGAUAUGAUCAAACUCAUUCACCAUGCUAUUAGCAGAGGCAUCACCCAUCUUGACACCUCCGAUAUGUAUGGACCUCACACCAACGAAAUACUCAUUGGCAAGGUACCGUAUUUGCAAAUUUUCUGCUGUUGUGUGCUAUGCAUAAACUCUUGUACUUCUAAUUUCUAAAAGAGCAUAUUUGUAAGUAUUUUAUUUGGGUAUAUUAUAUUUAACCCCCUGCACUUGAAAUCUUGUCUCCCUUUGUGCCCCCUUAAUUUUGUUUGUCAGCACUUAAACUCCAUCUGUUUAAAUUAUAAGUAUUAUUAGUCAAAUAAGACAAUAAUAUUCUUCAUUUCUUCUUCUUCUUCUUCUUCUUCUUCAUUUUUUCAGAUGUUUGUCCUCAAUUGUAAGAGAAGGUCGUAGGUCUAGCACAUACGUUGAGUAGCUGUAUCCGAUUAGAAGGAUUUAGAUCAUAAUGGAGUUGGUAAAAUAGUACUAUUUUCGUCUUUGAAGUUAAAAUUGUCAUCAAUUUAUGGAAAGUUUACUAUUUCUCUGAUAAGAGAUGGUAAAAUUUACUUUUUACGAGUACUAAAGUUUUAAAGAUUAUGAAAAGAGAAUUGUACGAAUGAAUAUAAGGGAAAAGAAAGGUAAGAACAUAAAUAGAUUGUGUUUGGAUUGAUUUUGGGAGGGGCAAGGAGAGGAAAGGGAAAGAAAAGGAAAUGGAUGGAUUGUGUUUUGCUCAGACAUCAUUUCCAUACAAAAGUAGACGGAAACAGAGGGAAAGAAAAUCUAGUUGAUGAUUUUCUUAUAAAAUGCCUCAAGCACCCAAAUUUUACAUAAACUUGAGUAACCAUGUGUUUCAUAUCUGUAGAACUUGCCAUUUGUGAAACCUGCUUUAGAUAUGAAUUGUGGGAUGCAACAGCAGGCUAGGAAUGUUUGACUAAGCAACUUAUGUAAAUAUUUUAUCGUUAAGUGAAGUUCCUCUUUUGCUGUUUAAAAAAAAAAAAAAAAAAGAGAGAGAAAAACCAUUCCUUUAAUGUCUGUCAUUCUACCAAACAGCAGAUUUAGGAUUUCUUUUUUUCCCAUCCAUAUCUAAUCCAAAUAAGGCAAAUGAGAACUAUUUUCCACUACUCUCCUUUCCUUUCUUUUUCACUAGGAUGUUUUAUUUAUUCUUUCCUUUGAUCCUAAUGGUUCCUAAAAGGGCACUAAUUAUUCUACAUUGAUCGUUCCCCAUAUUUGUAUUAAUGUGCAUGUUCACGAUUCUGUGUACGUUCAUGUUGUGCAUCAAAUCUUGUGAAUGUCAAAGCUAAGAUUGUAAAUUUAAGUUGAAGAAACAUAAAAGAAAAAAGAAAAUGGAUUGGCUCCUUUAAGAGUAUCAGACUUCUAAACCCCAAGGAUUACAUAAUUUUCAUAUCCUUUGCUAUACAAAGAAGUGGCAUAGCCUUAACAAUGAAGUGCUGGAAAAACUCCAGAAGGACUGUGCCAUCCAUGAAAUCACAAUUCCGCUUGCUAUACCAUGCAUUAAUGUGUAUGCCCUUGAUGAUUAAUAUAAUGAAAUCAUGGUUCUAGGCCUUGAAGGAAGGAAUAAGAGCGAAAGUGGAGCUAGCAACAAAAUUUGCAAUCAGUUAUCAGGAUGGGAAAUUUGAUGUACGUGGUGAUCCAGCCUAUGUGAGGGCUUGUUGUGAAGCGAGUUUGAAGCGGCUUGAUGUGGACUGCAUUGAUCUCUAUUAUCAACAUCGCAUUGAUACACGUGUGCCCAUUGAAGUCACGGUUUGCUCGUCUUGCCUUUCUUGUAUUUUAGCUCCACCUCAUUCUUGAUGAAACAAAAGUUUGAUCAACUCCAAAUUUCGAAUAAUUCAGUUUCAUGUGCGUUUCAAUUCUUCAAAAAUUGCACAGAAAAGUUAGUCAACCUUAUGGUCUAGGCUAAUCUGCAGUAUGCUAAAUCUUAUUUAGCACCAGGCACCCUGAAAAGUGAAAACAAUGAAAAUGUCUUAUAUUAGCUUGGCAGUCCUGCUGAGGGAUAUACAGGUGGAUAUCAUGCUAUACAUUGUACAGCUUUCCUUUAGAAGCAAGAGACCUGAGCAUUCUCUUUCAUUUGAGAUAGGCUAUCCAGUUGAGUAAUGAUAUGCUAUUUACUUACCUUGUCAUUCGUUUUCAGUCGGUGCCAAAAGCACUGCAGAUAGAAGUUUUUUAGUCAAUAUCUAAAAAACGUGGUACUCAUUUUGUUCAGAGUAUAGCUUUUUGUCUAAUUGUGAAAGCCAGCUGCGACUACCCCGUUGACCUCUCUAAGCAAUUCAAAGAUUGCAGCUGCUUGCUUACAUUCAGCUUUUAUGAAAACAAUUUCUGUCUUCUUUUUCUAAUAUAGUCAGCAAAGAAUUGUCUUGUUUUUCCUGAGUAUUAGGAAGAAACUUUCUUGCAGUUUAAUCACUCAAAAUACAGGCAAGUAUAAAGGAAAUCAAGGAAAUCGACAACUGAUAAUUGAUAUGUGCAGCCAUUAUUAUAUCUAGACGAAGUCAACAAUGUCGUGUAAUCAUAUUGGAGGAGCAUUAUGUUGGCAUGGUCCAAUAGAGCUAAGUCAUCCGGUGGGCUGUACAUAGAGAAGUAUCACUGGAUGCUUAUUGCCAUUUUUGUCAAUUAUUGAUUUCAGUUUGACGUAUAAUUUGUCCACGACUUCAUUGAACUAGUCCAACUUUUACUUUUUUGCACGUAAUAUUUCGAUUAUCUGCCUAAGUAUUGAAUGUAAUAAAUCAGCUUUGCAUUUUCUUGUCCAUUGAAAUUCUCUAGAUAGGAGAGCUCAAGAAACUGGUUGAAGAGGGUAAAAUAAAGUAUAUAGGUCUGUCUGAGGCCUCAGCUUCAACAAUUCGAAGAGCACAUGCUGUUCAUCCAAUAACAGCGGUACAGUUGGAGUGGUCAUUGUGGGCCAGAGAUGUCGAGGAAGAGAUUAUUCCCACUUGCAGGUAGUGCAUAUAUUCUGCUGCAUUUUCUACGUGGUCUAGAAGAAAUAUGAAGUUCUUAAUUCAGUUUUUGGUAUAAUCUUUCAGAGAGCUUGGAAUAGGGAUUGUUGCAUACAGUCCACUUGGAAGAGGAUUCUUCUCUUCAGGUCCAAAGCUGGUCGAGAAUUUGGCUGAAGGUGACUGCCGAAAGGUUUGUGCAUAUCCAAAACUAUGAAGUUUUUGAGUAUAGAUUGUUUAUAGUUCGAAUAAGUUUCUCACUCAUCUACUUUUACCACUUCAGUGACAAUCUUGCUUGAUAUCCCUAUUCUUGUCUAUCUGUCAUAUGUUGCUGCACUUUUUGAUGUCCAAUAAUUUGAUUAAGCCUUAUAAUAUGAUCACAUUUAAUCAAAUUUCUAUUAAGCAGAGCAAAUCAACAGGCUUUUUUUUUUCCUGUCGAACAAGUCUUGAGGUCUUUAGUUGAUUAAAUGAAUGCAGAUUUUGGUGUCCUCUGUAUUUAGUUCAAAUUAAAAGAUAUAGCGCUAGCUUUGUCAAAUUUUAGAUCUUAUAUUAAUUGAAGGUUGUUAUUGCAUGCUGGAGAUUUAUAUAGUGGACAACAAUCACAAGCAAUCGAUAGUAUCGAAUUUUAAAGUGCAAAGAUGUCGCAAGACAUCAAAACAGGAAGAAACUAUGUCACUUUUUAUGUAAAAGUCUCUUUUCAGUUUUGAGGGGAAAUGGACCUUGGACUUCAAUUUCAUCAUUUAGUCUCAGGCACAGAAUUUCAUCAUUUUGUCCUGUGAAACUAUCAUUUUUCCUUUACCAUUAAUCCUAAAACUGAGUUUCAUUGGUCAGAAGUGUACUUCUUAGUACAAACAUUAGUUGAUAUGCAUUUUAAGGUUCCCCUUUGAUGGGAAAUGUAUCUCAGAACUUAACUCCAACAGUUGAUGUUUCCUACUUGGAUUAUUCAGUCCACCUUGAUGCAUUGUUCUUUGCCCUGAACUUGUGUCCUUCAAACAAUAUUGCUGAUCAUCUUGAAGUAAUGUACCGUUUGUUCAUUUCUCCCUUCUGAUUUCUUGCAUUAUAGUUUCCUCUUUAAUGGGAAAUGUAUCUCAUGAUCUACCUUCUACAAUUAAUGUUUCUUAAGAGUACUCAGUCCACCUUACUGGAUUGUUCCUUCCCCUGAACUUUUUACACCUUAAACAAUACUAUCAAUCAUCUUGAAGUUAUUCAUAUUGUCUUCAUACCUAUCACCCUUUACAGUUGCUUGAAUUUUUGAAAUUCAUACAAUGUAGGAUAUGCCAAGGUUUCAAGCAGAGAAUUUGGAGCACAACAAGAAGUUGUAUGAGCGGGCCAAUGCCAUUGCUUCAAGGAAGGGUUGUACUCCAUCACAGCUAGCAUUGGCCUGGGUCCAUCACCAAGGCAAUGAUGUUUGCCCCAUACCUGGCACUACCAAGAUUGAGAACCUCAAUCAGAAUAUAGGAGCUUUGUCUGUAAAACUGUCAGCCGAGGAAAUGGCGGAACUUGAAUCUAUUGCUUCUGCGGGAGUCAAGGGUGAUAGGUAUGCGCCUGGCCUUGGUACUUGGCAAACUUCUGAAACUCCGCCUUUGUCAACCUGGAAGCGGACAUGAAGACAUACCUUUGUUAUGGCAAUAAUUCCUUCUAGCUAUGUGCCUGAUGGUGGAUUUCACUAUAUUGAGAGUUGAGUGAUAUGUAAUUGUUCCAAUAAAUUUUGACAUACUAUUGUCUCUAGGGCUAUGGCACGUAAAGUUAUAAGUAGAAUGGAUGGAGUUUCUUCAGAGAGGUUGUAAUAAAUAAAGAUCUGGUCAUGUAAAAGCUGAAUAUAAUUUUCCUUGCAGUUGAAUGCAUUAAGAGUUAUAUAUUGUACUUUUGAAUGCUAAAGUGGUCCAUUUUUUAUGUGCUACUGCUACGAGAGUUAUAGAUUGUUGAACAGCAUUCAAUUCUGGACUUAUUAAACAUAAGCAUAUAAACAUUUUAUUCUCGGAAUAUUUACAUCAAAAGAAACUCCAAGGUCACAUCAUUGUAAAGUGUAAACUAUAUCAUAUUAAUAAAAAGCAAAAAAAAUGUCUAAAUGAGGAAAAAAAAUGUACUAUAGAAGAAGUCAACAAUGUCAUGUAAUCAUUUUAUCCUAAAAUUGAGAUUCAAAUUUAGUUGAUUUGUAUUUUGAGUUUCCUCUUUGAUGGGAAAUGUAUCUCAGAACUUUAACUCCAACAGUUGAUGUUUCCUACUUGGAGUACUCAGUCCACCUUGAUGCAUUGAUCUUUCCCCUGAACUUGUGCCCGUCAAACAAUAUUUCUGAUCAUCUUGAAGUAAUUAGUACCAUCUGUUCAUUACUCCCUUCUGAUUUCUUGCAUUAUAGUUUCCUCUUUAAUGGGAAAUGUAUAUCAAGAUCUACCUUCUACAAUUGAGAUUUCUUAGAGUACUCAGUCCACCUUACCAGAUUGUUCUUUUUCCUGAACUUUGUUCACUUCAAACAAUACUAUGAUCAUCUUGAAGUUAUUCGUAUUGUUGUCUUUUGUGGACGACACAUGCUUUACUGCCUUUUUGAAUUUCUGCAUUGCAGUUGCUUAAAUUUUGAAAUUCAUACAAUUUAGAAUAUGCCAAGGUUUCAAGUAGAGAAUUUGGAGCACAACAAGAAGUUGUAUGAGCGGGUCAAUGCCAUUGCUUCAAGGAAGAGUUGUACUCCAUCACAGCAAGCGUUGGCCUGGGUCCAUGCCAAGGCAAUGAUGUUUGUCCCAUAACUAGCACUACCAAGAUUGGAAACCUCAAUCAGAAUAUAGGAGCUUUGUCUGUAAAACUGUCAGCAGAAGAUAUGGCUGAACUUGAAUCUAUUGUAUCAGCUGGAGUCAAGGGUGAUAGAUAUGAUCCUGGCCGUGGUACUUGGCGAACUCCUGAAACUCAACCUUUGUCAACUUAGAAGACUACAUGAAAACAUACCUUUGUUGAGGUAUUAAUUCCUUCUAGCAUUCUACCUGUUGGUGAUUUCACUGUAUUGAGAGUUGAGCGAGUUGUAUUUGAUCCAAAAACUUUGUCAUACUAUUGUCUCGAGGGUUAAGACAUGUAAAGUUUUAAGAAGAAUGGUGUUUCUUUAGAGUGCUUGUAAUGAAUAAAGAUCUGGUCAUGUAAAAGUAGAACACAACAUACCAACAAUGUCAUUGUAAACUACAUCAUACCAACAAAAAAGUAGAAAAUGGUCUAAAGUGAAUCAGAAAUCAACAAAAACUAUGUAAGCACCAAUGGAAAGCAGAAAAGUUCUUGAUACCAUAGUAAACACCAAUGGAAAGCUAAAAAGUUCUCGACGCCAUAGAAAUUAGGGAUUCGUUGGGCAAAAAAGUUCUUAACACCAUACUCUAUAGACGUAGGGGAUCCAGGUUUGGGCAUCUAGCUAAGUGGAACAGGUAAAGGAAAGCUGCAUCACAGAUGUAGCAAGUAGUUCCAAUGCCCUUGCCAAUGGUAUAGGCUUUCUUGCUUCCAACAUGGUCUUGAAAGUGCAGAUUAGAGAAGGAUAUCAAAGCCGGCCAGCUGCGAAUCCUGUGGGGUGAAAACCAUACAUUUGAGAACAUAAACAAAACAGAGCUGCCUGGUCCUCAAUUUAAGCAUUAUACUUGAGAAGGACAAUACAAGCAUUCAGGGAUAUUUGCAGCCCCAUCCUCAAUGUGUGAGAAAAUAAACUUUACAUGCAGAAAGGAAAUAAAUGGUUGAAAUUACACAAUGGAUGGAUGUUGAAAAGAAUCACUAACAAAUAUGUCUAGAAGAUCGAUCUGUUAAGCAUGGGAAGUUCAAAGAGUAGCAUUUUUUUUGAAUCUCAGAAAAAUGAAGAGUAAGGUACAGUCCAACAAUUUAGGGAAUUCAAACUCUAUUUGUGAAUAAACUGCUUGUAUUUUUCCUUUUUCUAGUGUAAGAUUUAAGGAAAAGUUAAAAUCACUUGACCCCUGAUCAGUUCUUUACCAAUACAUUGAUUUUGACUUCAAUCAUGAACAAAUAAUUCAGAUUAAGACUGAAUAGUUAAUAAAUUGAAAAAAAAGGGAAAGACAUCAGAACUUAGAUGUAACACACUAAUCCAUAACAUCCAGUCCUUCUUACUUUUCGUGCCUUUGGCCCAGUGUUGCAAAAGGCCUUGCCUGAGGUAAGGCAUUUGUCUCUACUGCAGCAGCACGAAAGCCUUGGAGCAUGGGUUGUAAUUCUCAUGAAUUUUAAAAUUUUUGAAUAUUUUAAAAAUAUUGUAAUAUUUAUGCAAAAUAUUAUUAAAACACAUAUAACUAUAAUAAAAUAUGUAAAAUUUUAAAAUUAUAGAAAAAUAUAUUAUCAUGAUAUGCGGUAGUAAUGACAGUAUAGAAAAAAAAAAAUAUGACAAAAAUUCAACGAAUACUAGUCGUGGGCAUCUGAAAAUGGUUAUAGAUGACAAGGGACGAUGAUUUUACUUGGAAACUUGGGUUUUUACAUUCUUGUGGUAUGUAUUACUAUACAAAAAUGGUAAAAUUAAAAUAUAACCAAGUUUUGGGGUUAAAUAAGAAAUUUGAGAUAACAGGUUAGCUAAAUUUUUAAAGUGAGCCAAAGCACAAGGACUUAAUACUACAUGUUUUACUAAAAUGGGACCCACAUCUCUAAAUUCAGGCCCGUCAGGUUCAUCGAGGUGCUUCGUUCGCAAGCCCAUUUGUCAGCCCAAAUCAUCAAACGCUUCCUUCCUCCCCUUUUUAUUUAAUAAACCCGAUACGACUUCCUGAUUAUUCCAGGAUCCAACAAUUAAAACUUUACUGGCUCUAAAAAAAAAAAAAACAAUUAAAACUUUACAUACAAAUAAAUGGUCAAAUUCACUUAAAAAUUGUGGGGUCAUCUUCCACAUUAAACUUUUGUACUAUCCAAGUUUGUUUUAAUUCCUUUGGGAAAAUCAAACAUCGAAUGCAUUCCCCAAAAAAAACAAAAAAGGGAAAAGGAAAUGGCUUACCUUUGCCCUUACGUAUCCAAUCCCAAUUUGAACAUUACAUCAUCCAUCCAAUUGAAACAAACUCCUAUGGAGAUUUUUUUUUUGCUCUAUUUUGUUGUUAGAUCUGAAAGUUUUUUCAAAAUUUGAAUCUAUUUGAACAUAUCUCAUUAUCAUUAUUGAAACUUAAAACCAUUUAUUGACAAAUCUGGCAAUUGCCAUAUGCACAAAAGGGAGACGCUUUAAAAUUCUUUAUAUUUUAUUAGAUGUGUUUGUAAUUUUCAAAUCUAUUGUAUUAGUUAAAUUAUAAUCUGUAAUUUUUAAUGCAUGCGUGACCUGCCAUUAGAGGAGUUAUGUAAAUCAAAUCAUGUUGGACGAUUUUCAAAAAAAAAAAAAAAAAACUUAACCGUCAAUUACUCUUUCCCAUUUUAUUUGUCCACUUUUCAAUUGUCAAUAACUCUUUUAAAAUAUUUUGCAAUACAAAAAUCAACUGAAACCAGUAGACAUUGUAAUUAAUAGCAGUAUUCAAUUCUUGUUUUUGUAUAUUACUCGUACAUCUAAUUAGUCCAAUUUGGAGGGAAAAAAAGGUGAAAACAAAAAAAUAUAAUAGUCACAAAAAACACAGAUCUAGCUCAAAAUAUGGCAGUGACCAAUUGUUCUGCAAAAUUAGUAGGAUAAGCAGUUGACAAAUUCUAUAAUCCCUUUUGGUCAAAUAUUAUUUUUAAUAUUUAGGUCGUUACAAUUUCAAUAAUUUAAAUUACCAGUUACUAUCAUCAUUGGAAGAAGCACAUUGAAGGAAUGAUACUCUAAGAUGACUGAUAGAGCGAUUUUUGAGCACAUUUUGUACUAUUAUUCUGUCCUAAUUUUGGCUACUCAUGGUGCUAAGAAUUAAGAUUUUGCUCAUAUUUGAUAUUUGUAUGAAUUAUAGGUGGUUGGCGUUAAAAAUGAUCUUGCGAGGCGAAUUUCUAGAAGACCCUUCAGGUCAAGACGUGCCCAUGCCAGAAGUAGUGGAAGGUUACCCAUAAAGUCGGACCCGCGGGCUUGGUAGCAAAAUAAGUCAACUAGGGAACCAGGUCCACGUGGAUCAAAGGCGGGGGAUUAGAACCCUUAGGCAAAGCUUGUUCCUUUUUUUGGAUUACUACUGGCGGCGCACAUGAAAAAUAUAAGAGACGAAGCCAGGUUCACGUGAAAGGAAGGAGAUAGCUUAGUUUUCUUUUCCCAAAUUUGUCAGACGUUUGUCUUGCUUUUCUCGGUAGAAAACAGAAGACAAGCCAGAAUCACGUGGGCUUAGUAGAUUAGUUUUCGUUUUCUUCACUGGCAACAAUUUCUUUCUCUGUUUUGACUUUUGAUAAAUUUCAUGAGAUUGCUCCAGUACGGACACGAAAUAAGAAAAGGAAUUAAGAGACUUUCUCUUCAUUAUUCCUCCGUUAGUUCACUUUUCUCAAUUCUUCGGCAAUUAAUUGAAUGUUUUCAAUUAAAUCACACGGGAUUGACAGGAUGAGGAGAGGCUAGUUCUCUCCUCUACCCAGAGGUCGACGCGAGGGCGCGGUCCAUAAUAUCAGUAAGAUCUGAUCAAACUUUCAUUAUUUCUUCCAAUUUGUUACUAUUCGUGCGUUUCUUGGAUUAAUUAUUCAUGGGUAUUUUAUUAAUUGAAUAUCAACGGCCGGGUAUUUAAUUUAAUUUAAUAGCCUACUGUCACAUUAACUAAAUUCAAUCCGUAAUUGUUUGUUUAGUUGAUAACUAGUGACAACCAGCAUAAUUAGCUUUAUGUUGGAGGAAUGCAAGAUCUAAUUUAAAUAAACUCUCUUAGCGUGUUUAUUGAUUAGGGUUGAGUUCUUCUAGUUGUAAUGCAGUUGGAUAAUUAAAUUCCUAUAGUUGUACAUAGAGUUGUUAACUGGUUAGAGAAGCAGUCAACGGUCGUACCUUGGCUGUCGAAAAGGUAAGGAAGAAUUGGUUAUCAGAACUUGUUGUUAGCUAUAACCAAUCAAGUAAUGAAUGAGUGAAAUAUCUUUGCAUCGAUGAUCGUUUAAUUGGACCAUGCCUGAAAAGUUGAUCCUUUGGGUAAAAUUUUAUUAAUUGCUAUUUUUACUAAAUUGCACUUGUUGAGUUAGCUCUUGAGUUUUACUUAUUUUAUUUUUACUUUCACCCCAUUAAUUAUCCCUCUCUUUUAUUCUAUUGACUUAGAAAGAAAUCACUUCCUAUCCGUUCCCUGUGGAAUCGACCCUACUUGCCAUUGUACGCAAAUUUAAUAUUUUUAUAGACAAAUCUGGUAUAUCGGAUCAAACAAAUUUUUUGAAAAUAGGGUGAAUCAAGUAACCCAUUGCACACCUAGAGUCCCUGCUCCAGUACUUGGAUUUGUUCUAUAAUGAAUUGUGGUGGUAAUUAGGACUUUUUAGUAAUUAUUAUUGCACAGGUUCGGCACCUGUCAAUUUUUGGCGCCGUUGCCGGGGAGCGGUGUUUUGGUUAAAUUUGUUUCUUUCUAAGUUAUUCUCUUUGAAUCUGUCUAGCAUUUUUCUAGUUUAUGCCUCGCUCUUCUCGUACAGGCGAAUUGAUUUUCGAUUCAGAAGUAGAGAAGGCUGCGCGCCAAACUAGGAAACAGACCAGACAACUCAGGGAGGAGCAAUCCAGUAUUGCAUCUCAGGGACUGGAUCUUGAGGUUGAAUCAACAGAUUCAAGUAGUGAAAAUUUAAAUGAUCCAGGCCAAGAGGGCAUCCUUAUGGCAAAUGCAAGAAUACUAUAGGAGUUGGCUGCUCCAGAAUUACCCCAGCAGCCUUUGUGCAUUACAUUCCUAACGUUGGCUAAAAAUAUCUCAUUUGAAUUGAAGUCAGAAUUAAUCCACCUCCUACCUACGUUCCAUGGCCUCUCAGGUAAGGAACCCUACAAACACAUCCAAGAGUUUGAUGUGGUAUGCUCCAGUAUGAAGUCUCCAGGAAUUACUGAGGAGCAGAUUAAACUCAGAGCCUUCCCCUUCUCCCUCAAGGAUGCAGCAAAUGAUUGGUUGUACUACCUACCUGCAGGUAGUAUCAUCAAAUGAGCCCAACUUAAGAAGAAAUUUUUGGAAAAAUUCUUCCCUGCGUCCCGGGCUGCAAGUCUGAGAAAAGAGAUAUGCAGCAUUAAGCAAUAUCCUGGAGAAUUCUUAUAAGACUAUUGGGAGAGAUUCAAUAAGUUGUGCACUAGAUGCCCACAGUAUCAAAUUAGUAAAUAACUGUUGAUCCAAUAUUUCUAUGAGGGACUCCAGUCGUCUGAUAGAAGCAUCAUCGAUGCUGCGAGUGGGGGAGCCCUGGCGAACAAGACACCACGAGAAGCAUGGAUAUUCAUUGAAUCAAUGGCGAAAAAUUCUCAACAGUUUGGUUUCCUAAAAAGUAACCCUACCCGGAGGGCUAACGAGGUAGAGACGUCAUCCAUUCAGCAGCAGAUAUCAGAGCUAACAUUUUUUGUUACAAUUAGCUGUGGGAAACAUGCAUCAAGCUAAGGCCUGUGGAAUCUGCACAAAUGUGGGUCACUCCACUGACUCAUACCCUAUGUUGCAAGAGGAUGGGGGUGAACAAGUGAACAUAGUCGGAGGCGUGCCCGUGCCUCAUAGACAGUACGAUCCAUACUCCAACACAUACAAUCUGGGUUGGCAAGACCACCCCAAAUUCAGUUAUGGUAAUAAGCCACAGAAUUCAUUUCCCAAUCGCCUACAAGGAUUCCAACAACCGUAGCAACAAAAGUCUCAACCCUCGUCCUCCAGCUCAGGAAGUCAUUUGGAGAAAAUUGUCAAGAGUUCAGCUACGACUAUAACUCAGCUCCAGCAAGAGACUAGGUUCUUGGUCGCGAGCAUUACUCAGUUCCAACAGGACACCAAAGCAGGCAUGAAAGACAUGGAAAUUCGAAUGAGUUAAAUGACAACUGCCAUUAAUCGCCUAGAGUCCCAUGUUUAUGAAAAAUUGUCAUUUCAAUCCGAGCCAAAUCCCAGAAAUGUAAGUGCCAUAACAUUAAGGAGUGGCAAAAAGGUGGAGGGACCUAAGUUGGUAAAUUCGAAAAGCAAAAGUGAGGAAGAGAUAAAAAAGGAGAUUGAAGAAGAAGGACGCAUUCGUAAAGACCCUAAGGUAAAAUUUACUCUUUCAGCUCCUAUUAAAUCUAACUUACCUCAUUUUCCUUGCAGGUUAGAAAAAACAAAGAAGCAAAAUAAGGAAAAGGAGAUUUUAGAGGUGUUUCGAAAGGUGGCAAUCAAUAUCCCUUUGUUGGACGCGAUCAAACAAGUGCCAAAAUACGCUCAAUUCUUGAAAAACUUGUGCGUUAACAAGAAGAAGUUGAGGGGGGAUGAACAAAUUGUGGUAGGUGAGAACGUUUCAGCGAUUUUGCAAAGGAAACUACCACCUAAAUGCGGAGAUUCAGGUAUGUUUAUUAUCCCUUGUAAGAUUGGAUGUUCUAAUAUCAAAAAUGCCAUGCUAGAUUUAGGGGCCUCUAUUAAUGUGAUGCCUAAAUUAAUUUAUGAUUCCCUAAAUUUAAAACCUUUAAAAGAAAUAGGGAUAAUAAUUCAAUUGGCUGAUCGUACAUUUGCUUAUCCGGAUGGAAUAGUUGAGGAUGUUUUGGUGCAAGUAGAUGGAUUAAUUUUUUCUGCUGAUUUUUACGUACUUUACAUGGAUGAUAGAAGUGCCCCAAAUCCAUCACUCAUUAUAUUAGGAAGACCAUUCUUGAGUACUGUCCAAACUAAGAUUGAUAUUAGUAAGGGUACUCUCACGAUGAAAUUUGAUGGAGAAAUAGUCCAUUUUAAUAUUUUUGAUACAAUUAAAAAUCAUGUUAACUCUCAUUCUGUAUUUGCUAUUCAGGCUACUAAUCCCUCUGUGCAAGAAUUCUCUGAGUUUGUUUGUAGGGGUAAAUUCAAAAUUGUUGCGAACAAGUAUCCUGGAAUGAAAGCAAUUCAUGAGGUGAAAAUGAGUAGAAAAUUCAGGAAAAUAUUGCAUUCAAUGGCUAUUUGGAUCCCGGAGGAGGGCCACAAAUUAGAAGAAAAAUUGAAUUACAUCCAAACUGAAGAGCGGUGUAUAGUGUCUAGCCAAAAACAUUAAAGAAAGGCGCUACUUGGAAGGAAAUCCAAGGCUUUCAAUUGUGUUUUUUCAUAUUUGUGUGUUCAAGAUCAGUGGGUUUAGGUUCCUAUUGACAAGCAAUCUUUAUUGUAGGUCAUGGGUGUUUCUGUGUAGUUUUAUUCUAUGUUGGGAGCAAAAAUUUGCGGGCAGAAGACUUCAUGUUACAAGGCUUGCCCGCGCCUUGUACUCACCGCGCAUGAACAUUUGUAAAAUUUGGCGGACAGAAGAUCUCGACCUUCAAGGCGUCCCCACGCCUUCCAACCUUUGCAACAAUGAAAGUUAAAAAAAUUGAUCAGGACCUUCUCUAACCCCCCUUUUCUACUUUUCUCUUUUCUUGUCUUAUCUGGUCUUUUUAAUUUCCUCUAUCUUAGUUUCUACUUUUCAAUUUCCUUUGUUUUGUCUUAGUUUCAGUUUCUUUGUUUCCUCUUUUCUUGUUUGUCCGCUGCGCACAGCGCGUCGCUGUGGCGUGCUCCUCUUACCAUGCUCCUCCUGCUGGGGAUUCCCAAUACCGUGCCCUCCAAGAUUCUAUCCGUGAACUAGGUGAGCGGGUUAAGGGACUAGAUGGCCAUCUUGCAGGGCUACAGGUUUUUGCUCGCAUUCAGGCGAAGAACCAAGCAGCUUUCUUUGCUCAUAUUGGAUUCACUCCAGCUCAUCCUUCCCCCCCUUAGUGUCUAGCUGCACCCUCUCGGUGGUCAAGGAAGUUUAUCUCCUUUUCUUCUAAUACUUCAUUUGUCUUUUCUAUAUUGAGAGCAAUGUAGGUUUUAGGUGUGGGGGAGUGGUUUCCAUUAUUUCUUUUGGCUUUGGUACAAAAAAAAAUGAAAAAAAAUGAAAAAUGAAAAAAAUGAUGAAAACAAUGCAGUUAGUCGGCUUUCUGUUCAUUUCUAUGUUUGUUAGUGCUGGAGUGUGUUGCUAUGAUGGAUUAUACAAUCCUGGGGCACAGGUACAUGGUCAAAUAUGCUAGCUGGACAUUUUGUUUUUCCUUGGCAAUAUCGUUGAAUGUAGAGUGUGUUGAACUUGACCCAUUCUUGUAACUUUUGGAAGCUUUUGAGCCAUGCAUGGGCACAUUAUUCUUGUUUGCUCUAGUUUUGUUUGAUUGAGUGGGUAUCACACAUGGUAUUGGUAUUCUAGAACUUGCUAUUUUAUACAUGUCGAGACUAUAUUUUGUUGAACUGGAUGCAUUUGAAAUGAUAAGGGCAUUUGGGAUUAAACCUUCUUUAACUUCCUAAAACCCAUGCCUUCAUCUUGUCUCCCAAUAGUGAACCAAUUUGAACUUUUAUCCGUCAAAUUUGUUUGUUAGCCAUGUUGAUAACCCAAGACCUUUUUAGACUUUCUUGUUCACCCCGGUGUUGUUAAGGGAUGUCUGAAUUUCAUCAUUUGUGCAAGACAAAUAAAUCUGGAGUCGCAAGUGUUGUUAGAGUAGAAUCUGUAUGAUGCUAUCUUUGUGCAUUUAGAACAAAAAGGGGAGAAAUCGACAAUAAGCUGCUGAUCAGAAGACUCUGUCUUACAGGGUGUGCCCACGCCUUGCAACACGUUUUUCAAAAAAAAUGAAAAAAAAGGAGAAGAGAAGCUAGUGAACAUAAGGCUCUGGCCUCCAGGACGUGCCCAUGCCUUGCAAGACAUCUUUGUAAAAAAAAAAAAAAAUUGCGACAUUUGCACAGUAGGUACAGCAGGUGAAACUGUCUUGUUCGCGGAGUUCAUGUGGUGAAGCAUUGUGGUUAUAUGGUGGGUUUUGGACAUCCUCUUGACACAUUACAUCUUACCUUCACCUUCUUAUCCCGCAUUUUACCUAAACCCCAUUACAACCCUAUUAAAAUCUCUUUGAUUAGUGUAUUUAAUUCACUUUUAAGUGGUGGAGAUUUAAUAAAUGUGCAAGCCUAUGGUAAUGUCAUUCCGUGUGUUGAUUUGACCGUUCCCAGUAUUCAUACAUUCUCUUGAAGGUGACGAGUAUUACUGAGCAUAUUCUUUGGUUAAUUGCCUAUCCGGCAUAUUCUAAUUUCGGCGACAUUGUCGGGGGGGCGAGAUGCUUGUGCUAGUAUAGAUUACUAUAUGACCUCUGUUGUCUUGAUUGUAUUUCUGAGUUUCGGAAUGCUUGAGGACAACCAUUGUUUAGGUGUGGGGGGAUUUGAUAGAGUGAUUUUUUAGCACAUUUUGUACCAUUAUUCUAUCCUAAUUUUGGCUACUCAUGAUGCUGAAAAUUGAGAUUUUACUCAUAUUUGAUAUUUAUAUGAAUUGUAGGUGGUUGGCGUUAAAAGUGAUCUUGCGAGGUGAAUUUCCAGAAGACCCUUCAGCUCAAGACGUGUCCACGCCAGAAAUAGUGGAAGGUUACCCAUAAAGCCGGACUCGCGGGCUUGGUAGCAGAAAAAGUCAACUAGGGAACCAGGUCCACGUGGACCAGAGGCGGGGGAUUAGAACCCUUAGGCAAAGCUUGUUCCUUUUUUUGGAUUACUAUUGGCGGCGCACAUGAAAAAUAUAAGAGACGAAGCCAGAUUCAUGCGAAAGGAAUGAGAUAGCUUAGUUUUCUUUUCCCAAAUUUGUCAGACGUUUGUCUUGCUUUUCUCGGUAGAAAACAGAAGACAAGCCAGAAUCACGUGGGCUUAGUAGUUUAGUUUUCGUUUUCUUCACUGGAGACAAUUUCUUUCUCUGUUUUGACUUUUGAUAAAUUUCGUGAGAUUGCUCCAGUACGGACACGAAAUAAGUAAAGGAAUUAAGAGACUUUCUCUUCAUUAUUCCUCCGUUAGUUCACUUUUCCCAAUUCUUCGGCAAUUAAUUGAAUGUUUUCAAUUAAAUCAUACGGGAUUGACAGGAUGAGGAGCGGCUAGUUCUCCCCUCUACCCAGAGAUCGACGCGAGGGCGCGGUCCAUAAUAUCUGUGAGAUUUGAUCAAACUUUCAUUAUUUCUUCCAAUUUGUUACUAUUCGUGUGUUUCCUGAAUUAAUUGUUCGUGAGUAUUUUAUUAAUUGAAUAUCAACGGCAGGGUAUUUAAUUUAAUUUAAUAGCCUACUAUCACAUUAACUAAAUUCAAUUCGUAAUUGUUCGUUUAGUUGAUAACUAGUGACAACCACUAUAAUUGGCUUUAUGUUGGAGGAAUGCAAGAUCUAAUUUAAAUAAACCCUCUUAGCUGUUUAUUGGUUAGGGUUGGAUUGUUCUAGUUGUAAUGCAGCUGGAUAAUUAAAUUUCUAUGGUCGUACUUAGGAUUGUUAUCUGGUUAGAGAAACAGUCAACGGUCGUACCUUAGCUGUCGAAAAGGUAAGGAAGAAUUGAUUAUCAGAGCUUGUUAUUAGCUAUAACUAGGGGUGGCAAUCCGGUCGGGUUCGAGUUGGUGGGGCGGGUUGAGACCCAAAUAUAACAAAAAAAAUCAUUGACCCGAACCUGACCCGUCAACCCGAAACGGGUCAGGAUGCCUGACGCCAACCCGAAAAUUUCGGGUUGGCGGGUCGACCCGAAAUGACUCGAAACUUAAUUUUAAAUUAUUAAUUUGUCAUUGUAAUUUCUAAUAAAAUCAAUUUCUCACAAAAUUAAUUACAUCAUCAAGUAAUAAAAAUUUAAAUAAAAAUUUCAAACCAAAUCUAAAAUAAAUUAAAUACCGUAAAAGUGUUUUAUCCCAAACCAAAUAUAAAAUAAAUUAAAACAGCAUAAAAGUGAAAAAUAACAUAAUAUAUUAUUUGUUCAAAUAUAAUAAUUUUAACUUCACACAAGUUAAAUAAAUUCAUUUAGGAUUAAGUAAUUAAUACCUUUGAAAAAAAAAGAAUGAUUUAGUUUAGUUAGAUAAAAUAAUUUUAUGCUUAUGAAAUUAUUUUUAAUUCGUAAACGGGUCAUAUCGGGUCAUAUCAGGUCACCAUGGGUUGACCCGAAAUCGACCUGUUUUGUUUUCGGGUCAAUCGGGUUCGACCCGAUUCUGACCCGAAUUCCUGAAACCUCAAUCCAAACCCGUUAAUUUCGUGUUACGUUCAUGUCGUGUUUUCGGAUCGUGUCAGAAAUUGCCACCCCUAACUAUAACCAACCAAGUAACGAAUGAGUGAAAUAUCUUUGCAUCGAUGAUCGUUUAAUUGGACCAUGCCUGAAAAGUUGAUCCUUUGGGUAGAAUUUUAUUAAUUGCUAUUUUUACUAAACUGCACUUGUUGAGUUAGCUCUUGAAUUUUACUUAUUUUAUUUUUACUUUCACCCCAUUAAUUAUCCCUCUCUUUUAUUCUAUUGACUUAGAAAGAAACCACUUCCUAUUUGUUCCCUGUAGAAUUGACCCUACUUGCCAUUGUACGCAAAUUUAAUAUUUUUAUAGACAAAUCUGGUAUAUCGGAUCAAGCAAACUUUUCGGGAACAUGAUGAAUCAAGUAAUCCAUUGCACAUCUAGGGUCCCUACUCCAGUACUUGGAUUUGUUCUAUAAUGAAUUGUGGUGGUAAUUAGGACUUUUUAGUAAUUAUUAUUGCAUAAGUUCGGUACCUGUCAAUGACUAUAGAAUUUUUCUAGUCGGUGAUACAAAAUAUUAAUAUUUGAAAAAAAUUCUAAUCACACAAUUGUAUUUGAUCUCAACCAACCGUCACUACUUUAAAUUAAUUUGGAUUGCAAGUAACGUCAUUACUUUAUGUGAAUAUCAAACAUGAAAAGCGCAUGAUAUAUACGAGCAAAAAAAUUAUAAUGUACUAAUUUUCAAUUUCUUUAUGUAGAAUAUUUUCGUGAAUAUUAAUUUUUGACAUAUCUUAGUCAAGGUCAUUAAUCAACCCGGACCUAAUCAGCUCCAAACCCAGGGCAAAUUUCUGGCAAAUUUCUUUGAAAUACUGCCAAAAAGAAGUUUGAAAAAUAUUGUUGAAAAGUUGAGCAUUUUUCUAUCUAGGCUCUUCGUGUCUCCUACACGCAAUGGAUAGUUUAUUUGUUCAAUUUUCUUUUUAUAAAAGGAGCUUGUCGUAUGUCAGGCACAUGGCGAGCCACAUUUAAAAUUUGGUUCCUAUCAUAGAGUCUAUUAUGUCCCUAACACUGAUGGACUGUUUUUUAAUUUUUUUUUUUUUUAAAAAGCAAGUGAAAAGUGUUGCAACUCAAGAGUUGGAUAGUAAUUUUAAAAUUUAAUAGUGCACCUACCUUUUAAUUUUUUCGUGUGCUUUUAAGGUAUCAAACGGGGAAAAAAAAACCAACACCAUAUAACUUCAAAUGCAAGAUGGUACGGAAUUUGUCAAUAUGUAGAUGUUAAUAGACAUUAAUGACAUGUAAAAAGUGCACCAUUCAUCACAGAGAUAUUUAUCCUAAUAUUACACUCUUUUUUUUUUUUUUCAAAAAUUCCAUAUUUCAUGCAAACAUGUAAUCAAUAUGCCUAAUCAACAUUAGAUGAAUUUAAACAAGUAGCCUACAAAUUUAAAAAUAUUUGAUUUCAUAAAUGUGCAUUCGCAAUUUAGAAAAGGUACUCUUCAAAUGGCAAAUCUAGAGAGCAACAAAUACUCCUACUCUAUUUUGAUUUCAGAUCUUCUUUUGACUUGCCAAAAACGUGAAAACAUGAAACUAAUACUGUGUCAGAUGGAGAGAAGUAAUAGAAAUUUGUUUUCUAGAUUCUUUGGCCUCCCAAUUUUUUCAGCGGGUCAACUCCGACCAUUAUCAUGGUCAUGUGAUUGUAGGUGUACCUGGCUUUGUAGACCACAACGUGGAUUGGAUAUGUCGAUUAGCUCCCAUCCUAUUAUAAUAUUUUUUCUUUUAUAAAUCAAUAUCUAUUCUAUUCCUAUUUCAACUUCUAUUCUAGGGAAAGGGGAGAUUCAACUGAAAAAUUGAUAGUGAUUGAAUCACGAUCGGACCAAACAGAUGUACUAUGCACAUAUACGAAUCUUGGAGAAGCCGGUGCAAUGAUGAGAGGUAAUGUUUGAGUCUUGACCUUCCAUUCCACUAAAAUUUAUAGUCUUUGAUAGUGGCCAACCACCCAAAGAGUUGUUGGUUAACUCCCACCCUGUUAGGAAGUAAAGGUUUUCGACACUCUAAAACAAAUGUUUUUUUUUUGUUUUUUCAAUUAUUUUCAUCUAUCACCAACAGCUGGCGGUCAUGGGUCAUUCAUCAAAGCAUAAAUCCGAACGACACUAAUCCCUCACUAGUCAUCCCCUCAUUCCUUCACGUAUGUUUUUAAUAAAUUGGAUUCAUCUAUUUGGUGUUCUAAAAUCACAUUUAAAAAGUUUUUUUUUUUUUGCAAUGUGUUAUUAUUCAGGACAUGAAUGAUAAUUUUAAAAUUUGAAUAGUGGACCUAAAAAUAAAACUUGUAAAUUUUACAUCUUAGCCUACUUACUUUUAAAACAGAGGGAAAAAACAGCACAUAAUUUCAAGUCAAAGAUUGUAUGCAGUUUGUCCAAUAAAUAAAUAUUCAUAAUUCAUAAUUUCAAACGACCGUGCCUAGUUGCGUGCGACCAUGCCCCGUCGGCCUGCGUUCCGCACACUAGGAUUCUAGAACUGUGUGGAACUCUUUAGAGUCCUUAAAGGAUAAGGAUGCAUGAAUCUUGAAGAUAAGCAUGAACCUUGUAAAUAAGGUUGUGUAGAAAAUUCUAAGCACUUGUAGUGUUUUGGCUUGCCUAUAAAUAGGCCAAGCCCUUUGUAUUGGAAAUGGUUGGCGACCUUGUGUAAAGAAACUUUAUGUAUAAUAUAAGCUUUUCUUUGCCACACUUACAUAUCUUUGCAUACUACUUUGGCGCUUCCGCACUUUAACCGCGCAUUGAGUGUUAAUGCUGAACUAGUUAGGCGUUCAUAGCUUAAGACAUGAGCGUAUGUUAGUGCCGCACGAGGUGUUGGUUUGUAGGAAAACAAGCAGCCCGUGACAAUAGGAAUGUGCUUAGAAAUUGACAUGUGCACUGAUGAUUAAUGCGGUGGACCCGUAAGGGAAAGUGGACAUCGGAAGCCACACGCGCAUGAAUUAAGUGUAAGGAGGAAAUGAUUUCGGGAAUAGCUAAUAUUACCAUUUAUCACUGAUUUUUAAAUUCAAAUUAUUUUUUUAAUUUUUCGUAUGUUGUUUGACAAGAAAAAUAAUAUUUUAUUAUUAUUAGAUUCGCAAGAAAUUCAAAUUUAUCUUCUUAACACUUAGUAAAAAUUGAGUUUAAAUACAUAUUUAUUUUUAAAUGAAUAUAAAUGGAUGAGUCGAAUCAAUCAAUUAUCCUGAGUAUUUUGAAUAACUCAGUUUCAUGUCCGUUUCAAUUCUUCAAAAAUUGCACAGAAAAGUGAAAACAAUGAAAAUGUCUUGGACUCGGGGCACGGACGGUUGCAGGUGCAACCGUCCCUGCCAAUUUUAGUCAUUAUCAACUGUGCGUAACUUUCUUUGUACAUCGUAUAACUUUUUUUUUACAGGAUAUAUUUUCACAACAGAUAGUGGUGAGUCCCACACUUGGCGCGAAAAUCGAGUUACAUGGUGUUAUCUUAGCCGCACAAAAUUUUGAGGACAAAUUUUGAUCCUUAACCGUGCAGGGACGGUCAUACUGCCCCAAAUCCAAAUGUCUUAUAUUAGCUUGGCAGUCCUGCUGAGGUAUAUACAGGUGGAAAUCAUGCUACACAUUGUACAGCUUUCCUUUAGAACCAAGAAACCUGAGCAUUCUCUUUCAAUUGAGAUAGGCUAUCCAGUUGAUUAAUGAUAUGCUAUUUACUUACCUUGUCAAUCGUUUUCAGUCGGUGCCAAAAGCACUGCAGUAGCCGUUUUUUAGUCAAUAUCUAAACACGGUACUCAUUUUGUUCAGAGUACAGCUUUUUGUCUAUUUGUGAAAGCCAACUGCAACUGCCUCAUUGACUUCUCCAAGUAAUUCAAAGAUUUCAGCAGCUUGCUUACAUUAAGCUUUUAUGAAACAAUUUCUGUCUUCUUUUUCUCAUGUAGUCAGCAAAGAAUUGUCUAAUUUACCCUGAGUAUUAGGAAGAAACUUUCUUGCAGUUUAAUCACUCAAAAAACAGGCAAGUAUAAAGGAAAUCAAGGAAAAUUGACAACUGAUAAUUGAUAUGUACAGCCAUUAUUAUAUAUAGACGAAGUCAGCAAUUGAUUUAAGCACGUCUCGGUAAGUUAAAAGGUUAAAACUUUACAUACAAAUAAAUGGUCAAAUUCACUUUAAAUUUGUGGUGUCAUCUUCCACCUUAAACUUUUGUACUACCCAAGUUUGUUUUAAUUCCUUUGGGAAAAUCAAACAUCAAAUGCUUACCAUUUAUUGAAACAUUACAUCAUCCAUAUUUUUUUUUGACAAAAAAAGUAGAUAUAUAAUUAAUAGCAGUAUUCAUAUUAUUUUUUGUAUAUUACUUGUACAUCUAAUUAGUCCCAUUUGGAAAAAAAAAGGAUGAAAACAAAAACACAUAAUAGUCACAAAAAACACAGAUCUAGCUCAAAAUAUGGCAGUGACCAAUUGUUCUGCAAAAUUAGUAGGAUAAGCAGUUGACAGAUUCUAUAAUCGCUUUUGGUCAAAUAUUAUUUAAAUUAGCUGGAUGGUCAAAUAUUACUUUUAAUUUUAAUCAUUUAAAUUACCAGUUGAAUGUUGACUUCCCAUUUCACUAAAAUUUAUAGUCUUUGGUAGUGGCCAAUCAUCCAAAGAGCUAUUGGUUUGUUCCCACCCUGUUAGGAACUAAAGGUUUUCGACCUUCUAAAAAAAAUGUUUUUGUUUUCAAAAAUUAUUUUCGUCUAUCACCAACAGCUGGCGGUCAUGGGUUAUUCAUCAAAGCAUAGAUCCGAGCAACACUAAUCCCUCACCAGCCAUCCCUCAUUCAUUGUCGCAUCCUUUUUAUGAAUUGGAUUCAUCUAUUUGGCGUUCUAAAAUCACAUUUAAAAGUUUUUUUUUUUUUUUUUUUUGCGAAAGUGUUAUUAUUCAGGAUGUGUAUGAUAAUUUAAAAUUUUAAUAGUGGACCUAAAAAUAAAACUUGUAAAUUUUACAUAUGAGCCUACCUACUUUUAAAAUAGAGGGAAAAAAACACCACAUAACUUCAAGUCCAAGAUUGUAUGCAGUUUGUCCAAUAAAUAGAUAUUCAUAAUUCAUAAUUUCAUAUACACAUGUUAACUAGAGAUGUCAAUCACAACCCAAUUAUAUUGAUCCGUUCAAAACCGUUCACUAAUAACCCAUCCAAAUUCACUCAUUAAAAUUUAAAUGGGUCUAAGGUUGUGUUUGGAUUGCAUUUUCCGUCAUUUUUCAUGGAAAAAUUACUGUAGCGAUUUGAUAUAUGUGAGGGAAAAAGGUGAUAGGGAAAUGUGAUCACGGAAAACGACAAUAUUUUUCGACAGAAACAAGCAAUCCAAGCAUGACCUAAGUGAGUACCUAAUUAAAUUCAUUUAAUUGGUGGAUAGUUGAUUGAUUCGAUUCACCUAUUUAUAACCAUUUAAAAAAAUAUAUUUUUAAACUCAAUUUUUACUAAGUGUUAAGAAGAUAAAUUUGAAUUUCCUACGAAUCUAAUAACAAUAAAGUAUCAUUUUUCUUGUUAAACGACAUGCAAAAAAUUAAAAAAAAUAGAAUUUCAAAUCAGUGUAAAUGGGUAAUUAAGUAUAUUCAUAUCCAUUUAUUAAAUAGAUAUAAAUGGAUUGAUUCAAUUAUAUCUAUUACCCAAUUAAAAUUUGCUCAAAUCCGUACAAGUCACUCAUUUUGAUGCUUUUAAUGUUAAUAUAUAUUCACAAGUGAAGAGUGCAGCAUUGGUUGGGAAGAUAUACUUAUUUAUCUCAAUAUUAUAAUCGUUUUUUACGUUGCAAAAGUAUUGAUAAUUUCAUAAUUUCAUCGAAGUAUGUAAUCAGUGACAUAACAUUACAUGAAUUUCAACGAAGUAUGUAAUCAGUGACAUAACAUUUCAUCAUUAGUCUUCAGCGGUGAAUCUAUGCUCUUUUCACGAGGCUUCUUUUCAAAGCUUUGAUUAUGGCAUACACUUCUGACAAUAUGCCCCUUUUAGAAUAGGGAUAAGUUUCUGGGUGAAUCUUUUCACGAGGCUUCUUUUCAAAGCUUUGAUUAUGGGGAUAAUUUCAGAUACCUCCCCUGAGGUUUCUGAGAGUUUCACUCCCCUCCCCUGUGGUUUCAAUAAUACCACAAACCUCCCUUAAAACUAGAUAGGCAAUGCCAAAAUAGACCCAUUUUAAAAAUACAAACAAUAAAAAAUUAGUAGCUGGUGAGAGAAACAAGUGUAUACCACAAAUGCCCUCAUUAUCUUGCAUUAAUGAACUAAUCUCAUGUGAAGAAAAAACAGGGAAUUUAAGAAGAAAGAAACUUGAGGGGGUGGAAGUGAGACCAAUGCAUUCAUUAAGGUCUGAACGUCAGUAGUGAACAAAAUGGAAGGCAACGGCUCUUUCUGGUAGGGCAUGUUGUUUUGUCAAGCGAGCAUAUAACUGAAGAACGGCCUGCAUAACCAAAGCUAGUACAUGUUGUUUUAUCAAGUCACAAGCAAUAAUCAAUACAUUACCACAAUCUUCCAUCGUCAAAAAGCCUGUAGGUUUUCCAAAUGUUUUCUCAAAGAUUUAUCGACUUUCUUUAUCCUGCAAAAGAGGAGUGGAUUUUUUCUCAGCAACAUCUUCCAGAACUGGAGAUGCAACAUGUUUCUCUGAUGAGUCAGGUAUUAGUCCUGCUGCAGUCUCUUCUGUACUUUCACGAGAGAUUCUGGGCCUGGAUUGCAACAAAUUAUCCAGGAUUAGAAGUAAGGCACUAAUACAUUUCGGGCUCAAAAUCUCAUUUCCUGCAAUAGUCCUUGCUUUGAAGUUCAUCAAGAUAUCAAUUGCCAAUGGGACAAUGCCACUCUGCACAGCAAUUUGUCGAGCAUUUUCAUCUUCAGAUAAAAUCAAUGCUAAAGUAUGUGAAACCAUGCACAAUGCACUAUUAUCUUUUGAGAAUUCCAUGGGGCACUGCUUUAGCUACUUUACAAGAUAAGGAAUCACCCGAUCACGGUCUUCUCCUUUGUUCCUAUUGCAAAGAGUCACAAGCAAAUCUGUCAACUGGAAAGCCAUUGAAUCACUACUGUGAAACAACUUCAUUGUUGCAGCAAGGAUGUCAUCAACAUAAGGGGUCUUAAUUCGUUCCUCUUCUGCCAAAACAUCCACUGAUUUUUCAGUGUUAUCGACUUUAGAUGCUUCUGAGGAAUUUCCUAGAGAUAAAGCAAGUGCACGAGCCAAUUCAUCAUCCUCCAGCACAGGAUCUUCAGCAUGACUAAAUAACCAUUCCAUAGCCAUUUCGACACUAUUAGUUUCCACUCUUUUUAAUGCCUUCUCAGCUCUUGCUCUUGAGAACCCCAUCUCAACAAUGGUAGCAAUGGUAGCUUCAUUAGGUGGUGGAGCCACCAAACGUUGGUUUGUAUUCCCUAACAACCCACUACGAUUUGUUUAACAUCACCAACACCAGAAUAUACAUGAGUGAUUAGUGAAAUAAUAGAAGUUAUAAAAACUGGAUUACAAUUUGGAAACAAAGGGUGAUUCCAGAUGGGAACUAUAGCAUCCAGAACCUGAGACUGCAGCAUACGAACAAACACUUAAGGGUCCUUAGGAACAGGAAGCAACCCAAUAGACAGACCAACUGCAACAGGUUGCACAAGCAGCUGUGCCUGGGAUGCUAAGGUUGGAGACAACAGCAAAGAAGAAUUGAUAAAAUAUUCAAGAAGGCGACAAUAACUCUGCAAUGUAUCAAGCAGCCAUGAACUGUGAGACAAUUUGCCCUCCUCCGGUAAGACAAUCAUAAAAAGUUACAAGUAACUCUUGGGGUCUACCUUAGCCACUCUUACUUUUCUUCCCAUAAAAUGGAGCACAAUAUCAUGAAAAUCAGUGAUAACCAUCCUACAAUAGACAAUCAUAGGCUACUGAAGUUACAAUAUUAGUUAUUGAAGUUACAGAAAAUAUUAGCUACAAUAUUAACCAUCUUGCAACAUUGGUUGCUGAAGUUACAGAGCAAGUAUAAGCUUUCUAAGUACUGAGGUUUGGCAUCUAACUAUAUCAAACAAUCCAAGUCAGACGAGAAAUUUAGAAUCAAGUAAGCAUAGUCUGGUAGAGGCUUAGCAAACCAAGUCACAUGACAAACCAGAAAAUCAUAAGCAAACAUGUAUCAAGCUUACACAAACAACAACCAAAUCAUCAUAAGCUGCCAAUAUCAUAUUGAAACAGAGUAUGAAAUCUUAAACACUUACCUGGUAAAUUUUUCUUAAUGAGCUAAGAGACUCUUCAGUUUGUUUGCCAAGACCUUUGUUUGCUAAGAACUUUCUUAACGAGAAUCAAGAGCUUUGUUUGCCAACCAUCAACCUCAGUUGCUAUAUCUCAACAAUGGCGGGAACAAAGUAAGUUUCUUGCUUCUAUAGGUACCGUGCCUAUCAAGCUGUUGUGUCAAUCAGACCAUGGCGCCUAAGUUUGGCGCCAUUUUGCUGAAGGCUCCUUUCUAUAUUGGUUGUUAGGACUCUAAUUUUUCGUUAAUUAAUUACAUUAAUUGUGUUUAUAACUAAUUCAACUAAAGUUUUCCAGAUAAUCAUGAAAUAUUAGCAAACUAGUGAGGGUAUUUAAGUCUUUUUGGCACCAAUGACGUAAGAAAUGGGACCUCACAAUCUGACAAGGGAGGUUUGUGAUAUUAUUGAAAUCACAGGGGAGGGAAGUGAAACUGUCAGAAACCUCAGGGGAGGUAUCUGAAAUUAUGGGAUACACUUCUGACAAUAUGCCCCUUUUAGAAUAGCGAUAAGGUUCUGUGUGGGAUAAUUUCAGAAACCUCCCUAGGGUUUGUAACAAUUUCAUCAAGCUUUCUUGAGAUUUUCAAUAUUACACUUACCUCCCUUGAUGAUAGUGACUAUAAUAAUCUUCAUAAUUUUUUCAGAGACAAGCCAUUGAUAAAAAAGGAUUAAAAAAAAACGAAAACAAUUCUUCUUGGCUAAGCCACAUAUUGUGACUAAAUUGUUUCAUCCAUGACCACUAAAUUGUAAUUUUCUAUUACUGAGAAAAGGAAGUAUUUUGGUAAUUGAGGGGCUUGGUUGUUUGAGUAGGAAAAGGGUAAGAAUUAUGAAUUUUAUGAUUGACAGUUUGGUAGACAACAUAUGGAAAAAACUUAUAGAGAGGUAAAAAUUAUAAAGGUAAGAAUUAUGAUGGUGGAUUUUGACAUCUAAAAUAACGAGCUUGUUCGAAAGAGGAAGAAAUGAUAAGACUUUGAAAACUUGGGUAGAUGUAGAAAAUUAUGAGAUGAAAAAUAUUAGGACAUUGGCUAAGUAAUAAAACUCAUAGGUUUAUAGUAUACAAGUGUAUUCUUGAUUUUUGAAAAAUUUUAAUGACUAUUCAUAUUUUGAAAAUUAGAUAAGGACAAUUUUGGGCAUUCGUAUAUUUUUUUGGUCUUACAUCGUCAAGGUGAAACUCAAACCUAUGUUUGAGUAAAUAUAUGUGUAAUUUUCAAAACGUGAGAAAAGCUGUCUGAAAUUAUCAGAAACCCCAGGGGUGGUUUAUGAAAUUAUACAAAAAACUCCAAUAAAGUGGCAGUUCAAACUGGGCCAACCAUCUCCUAUCUUCGCAUGUCCUCCCGCCGGCGGCCCUGAGUCAUCUAUAAAAGUAUAGACCAAGACAGCACUAAUCCCUCAUCAGGCCUCCAUACUUCUUCUUCAGGCCUCAGCAACGAAACAAUAAACUCUGCUCCACUCAACUCUUUCCUCUGUGUCUUGUACUCUUGUCUGAAAAUGGCGGCGUCAGAAGAAGUGAAAGUGCCAAGAAUCAAGCUGGGGUCGCAAGGUUUUGAAGUUUCAGCUCAAGGGCUGGGCUGCAUGGGCAUGUCAGCCGUCUACGGGCCGCCAAAGCCCAAGCCUGAUAUGAUCAAACUCAUCCACCAUGCUAUUUGCAGAGGAAUCACCCAUCUUGACACCUCCGAUAUCUAUGGACCUCACACCAACGAAAUACUCAUUGGCAAGGUACCAUAUUUGCAAAUUUUCUGCUGUUGUCUGCUAUGCAUAAACUCUUGUAAUUUUAAUUUCUAAAAGAGCAUAUUUUUAAAUAUUUUAUUUAGGUAAAUUAUGCUUAAUCCCAUGCACUUCAAAAUUUGUCUCCCUUUGUGCCCCCUUAAUUUUGUUUGUCAGCACUUAAACUCCAUUUGUUUAAAUUGUAAGUAUUAUUAGUCAAAUAUGACAUUGUUCUUCUUCAACUUUUCAUGUUACUGCCUUUUCAGUUUGUCCUCCUUUAUAAAUAUGGGAUGAAUUACUUUGAUUUUGAUUUUGGUGCAAUUUUGUAUAAAAUGAUUUUUGCUAUGAAGUUAUUGAUUUAUUAUGAGCUAUGUGUUGUAUAUUUACAAAAUUCUGCUAGUUAAACAUUCACUUGAGCAAGCCUUCCAAACAUGAGCAAUAUAAUUCUCUAUGGGUGCAUUUGGUAAAUUUGAAGUCUAGAAAUUGAAAUCUAAUCUAAAGUCUGAAUCUAUAAAGUUAUUAAAUUGUUAAGUACUAAAUUUGAUACGUUUGAGUGUAUGUCACAUCAAGUGAAAUGAAUAACUCAUAACUUAUUUUUUGAAGCAAGUUUUGCUUAAGAAAUUUAAUGUCAUUUAAUUAAUUCAGAUAUUCAAUUUUUGGUUAUCAAACGUGUCUAAAUAUGUUAAGAUCUGAAUUUAUUAAUUUUAAGUGUUAAAUUAGGUUAUCAAACAUGACCUAUAAUUAUUAAGUAACCAAGCAGACAACAUGUUUAGUGUAUAAUAGUAAUUAGCUUUCAAUUUGUCUUGUUAUUCUUUGGUAAAGAACUCUUUGAAUUAAUAAUAAUAAUUUUCUCAUACACGGGAAUCAAAAUAAUUGAAGUGUUAUCUCUACAAUUGAGAUAUGUCACCUUCUAAAAGAAAGGAAAGGGAAGGAAACAUGGGGGGAAAAUAGGGAAAGGGCAAAGUGAUGAUAAAGAAAAUUGGAAGUAGCAAAAUGACACAAGUGAAUUAUUGCAAGGGGUUAAGUGUAAAUUAUGUUUAUUUUAUUAGUCUAUUUAACCAGAAAGAUUGGGCUCUUGUAAGGCACCAAUCAAAAGUUCCAAUUGCUGGAAAUAACAUAAAAACUUAGACUUUGUUUGGUUUGGCAUUUUUGGAGGUGGUUCAUGAAAAUUUUAUUGUAGUUUUUUUUUUCUUGUUGAAAAAAUAUACUUGUAAGAGGAAAAAAAAUGGUUGAAAAAAAAUUGAGAGUUUUUUUUAAUAAAUUGUUUUCUAAAUAGCUCAGUCACCCAAAAUUUUCAGUAUUCUGACAAUGGCAUCCAUGUGGUGUCAAUUGUCAAACUUGCAACAAAGUUGAGAAAAGAAGGUCGUAGGUCUAGCUCUUUUUUAAUACGUUGAAUAGCUCUAUCCCAUUAGAAGGAUUUAGAACUCUUCUACCAUCUCUUUAUUUUCUUUUUUUUUUUCCCUUCAAAAUUCUACAUCAUAAUGGAGUUGGUAAAAUAGUACUAUUUUCGUCUUUGAUGUUAAAAUUUUCAUCAAUUUAUGGAAAGUUUACUAUUUCUCUAACAAGAGUUAGUAAAAUUUACUUUUUAUGAGCAGUAAAGUUUUAAAGAUUAUGAAAAAAGAAUUGUAUGAAGGAACAAAGGGGAAAAGAAAGGUAAGAAAAUGGAUGGAUUGUAUUUGGAUUGAUUUUGAGAGGGGAAAGGAGAGGAAAACGGAAAGAAAAGGAAAUGGAUGGAUUGUGUUUUGCUCAGACAUCAUUUCCCUACAAAAGUAGACGGAAACAGAGGGAAAGAAAAUCUUGUUGAUGAUUUUCUAGUAAAAUGCCUCAAGCGCCCAAAUUUUACAUAAACUGGCCAUUUGUGAAACCUGCUUUAGAUAUGAAUUGUGGGAUGCAACAGCAGGCUAGGAAUGUUUGACGAAGCAACUUAUGUAAAUAUUUUAUCGUUAAGUAAAGUUCCUCUUUUGCUGUUAAAAAAAAAGAGAGAGAGAAAAACCAUUCCUUUCAUGUCUGUCAUUCUACCAAACAGCAUAUUUAGGUUUUCUUUCUUUCCCAUCCAUAUCUUAUCCAAAUAAAACAAAUGAGAACUAUUUUCCUCUACUUUCCUUUCCUUUCUUUUUCACUAGGAUGUUUUAUUUAUUUAUCUUUCCUUUCCUUUGAUCCAAAUGGUUCCUAAAAGGGCACUAAUUCAUCUACAUUGAUCAGUUCCCUAUUUUUGUAUUAAUGUGCAUGUGCAUGUGCACGAUUCUGUGUACGUUCAUGUUGUGCAUCAAAUCUUAAGAAUGAAAAAGCUAGAUUGUAAAUUUAAGUUGAAGAAAUAUAAAACAAAAAGAGAAAAUGGAUUGGGUCCUUAAGAGUAUCAGACUUCUAAACUCCAAGGAUUACAUAAUUUUCAUAUCCUUUGCUAUAUAAAGAAGUGGGAUAGCCUAAACAAUGAAGUGUUGGAAAAACUCCAGAGGAACUGUGCCAUCCAUGAAAUCACAAAUCCACUUGCUAUACCAUGCAAUAAUGUUCAUGUCCUUGAUGAUUAAUAUAAUGAAACCAUGGUUCUAGGCCUUGAAGGAAGGAAUAAGAGUGAAAGUGGAGCUAGCAACAAAAUUUGCAGUCAGUUUUCAGGAUGGGAAGUUUGAUGUACGUGGUGAUCCAGCCUAUGUGAGGGCUUCUUGUGAAGCGAGUUUGAAGCGGCUUGAUGUGGACUGCAUUGAUCUCUAUUAUCAACAUCGCAUCGAUACACGUGUGCCCAUUGAAGUCACGGUUUGCUUGUCUUGCCUUUCUUGUUUUUUAGCUCCACCUCAUUCUUGAUGAAACAAAAAUUUGAUCAACUCCAAAUUUUGAAUAAUUCAGUUUCAUUUCCGUUUCAAUUCUUCAAAAGUUGCACAGAAAAGUUAGUCAACCUUAUGGUCUCGGCUAAUCUGCAGUAUGGUAUAGCUGAUUUUGCACAAGGCAUCCUGAAAAGUGAAAACAAUGAAAAUGUCUUGUAUUAGCUUGACGGUCCUGCUGAGGGAUAUACAGGUGGAUAUCAUCCUAUACAUUGUACAGCUUUCUUUAGAACCAAGAGACCUGAGCAUUCUCUUUCAUUUGAGAUAGGCUAUCUGGUUGAGUAAUGAUCUGCUAUUUACUUACCUUGUCAACCAUUUUCAGUUGGUGCCUAAAGCGCUGCAGAUAGACAUUUAUUAUUGAUAUCUAAAAAACAUGGUACUCAUUUUGUUCAGAGCACAGCUUUUUGUCUAAUUGUCAAAGCCAGCUGCAACUGCCCCAUUGACCUCUCCAAACAAUUCAAAGAUUUCAGCAGCUUGCUUACAUUCAGCUUUUAUGAAAUAAUUUCUGUCUUCUCUUUCUCAUGUAAUCAGCAAAGAAUUGUCUUGGUUUCCCUGAGUAUUGGGUAGAAACUUUCUUGCAGUUUAAUCAGUAUAAAGGAAAUCAAGCAAAAUUGGCAACUGAUAAUUGGUAUGUACGGCCAUUAUUAUAUAUAGAAGUCAACAAUGCCAUGUAAUCAUAUUGGAGGAGCAUUAUGUUGGCAUGGUCCAGUAGAACUAAGUCCUCUGGUGGGCUGUACAUAGAGAAGUAUCACCGGAUGCUUAUUGCCAUUUUCAUCAAUUAGUGAUUUCAGUUUGACGUGUACUUUGUCCAUGACUUCGAUGAACUAGUGCAACUUUUACUUUUUGCACGUAAUAUUUUGAUUAUCUGCCUAAGUGCUGAAUGUAAUAAGUCAGCUUAGCAUCUUCUUGUCCAUUGAAAUUCUCUAGAUAGGAGAGCUUAAGAAACUGGUUGAAGAGGGUAAAAUAAAGUAUAUAGGUAUGUCUGAGGCCUCAGCUUCAACAAUUCGAAGAGCACAUGCUGUUCAUCCAAUAACAGCUGUACAGUUGGAGUGGUCAUUGUGGACCAGAGAUGUCGAGGAAGAGAUUAUUCCCACAUGCAGGUAGUGCAUAUAUUCUGCUGCAUUUUCUACAUGGUCUAGAAGAAAUAUUAAGUUCUCAAUUCAGUUUUUGGUAUAAUCUUUCAGAGAGCUUGGCAUAGGGAUUGUUGCAUACAGUCCACUUGGACGAGGUUUCUUCUCAUUAGGUCCAAAGCUGAUCGAGAAUUUGGCUGAAGGUGACUACCGAAAGGUUUGUGCAUAUCGAAAAAGAUGGAGUUUUUUAGUAUACAUUGUUUAUAGUUCGAAUAAGUUUCUCACUCAUCUAUUUUUACCACAUUCAGUGGCAAUCAUGCUUGAUAUCCCUAUUGUUGUCUAUCACAAGCAAUGGGUAGUAUCAAUUUUUAAAGUGCAAAGAUGUCAAAAGAGGAAGAAACUAUGUCACUUUUUAAGUAAAAGUCUCUUUACGGUUUUGAGGGGAAAUGGACCUUGGACUUCAAUUUCAUCAUUUAAUCUCAGGCACAGAACUUAUGCUGUCCUGUGAAACUAUCAUUUUUCCUUUACCAUUAAUCCUAAAACUGAGUUUCAUUGGUCAGAAAUAUACUUCAUAGUAGUACCUCCUCUAUCGUUCAUAGUAGUACCUCCAUCGUUCAAACAAACAAAAAUUAGUUGAUUUGUAUUUUAAGUUUCCUCUUUGAUGGGAAAUGUAUCUCAGAACUUAACUCCAACGGUUGAUGCUUCCUCCGUGGAGUAUUCAGUCGAACUUGAUGUAUUGUUCUUUCCCCUGAACUUGUGCCCUUCAAACAGUAUUUCUGAUCAUCUUGAAGUAAUUAGUACCGUCUGUUCAUUACUCCCUCCCGAUUUCUUGCAUUAUAGUUUCCUCUUUAAUGGGAAAUGUAUCUCAGGAUCUACCUUCUACAAUUGAGGUUUCUUAGAGUACUCAGUCCACCUUACUGGAUUGUUCCUUCCCCUGAACUUUGUACACCUUAAACAAUACUAUCAAUCAUCUUGAAGUUAUUCAUAUUGUCUUCAUUUGUAGACGACACAUGCUUUGCUCCCUUUUGAAUUUCUGGCAUUACAGUUGCUUAAAUUUUGAAAUUCAUACAAUGUAGGGUAUGCCAAGGUUUCAAGCAGAGAAUUUGGAGCACAACAAGAACUUGUACGAGCAGGUCAAUGCCAUUGCUUCAAGGAAGGGUUGUACUCCAUCACAGCUAGCAUUGGCCUGGGUCCAUCACCAAGGCAAUGAUGUUUGCCCCAUACCUGGCACUACCAAGAUUGAGAACCUCAAUCAGAAUAUAGGAGCUUUGUCUGUAAAACUGUCAGCAGAGGAAAUGGCGGAACUUGAAUCUUUGGCUUCUGCGGGAGUCAAGGGUGAUAGGUAUGGGCCUGGCCUUGGUACUUGGCAAACUUCUGAAACUCCACCUUUGUCAACCUGGAAGAGAACAUGAAGACAUACUUUGUUAUGGCAAUAAUUCCUUCUAGCUAUGUGCCUGAUGGUGGAUUCCACUAUAUUAAGAGUUGAGUGAUAUGUAUUUGUUCCAAU
rnacentral:lncRNA from 1 species